rnacentral:lncRNA from 1 species
GGAGCCACAGUGGGGUGGUUGUGGAUUUAGAAUGCGGUUCUUUGUUAAUGCUACUUAACCUACCAAUGCUCCUGUGCUGUGACGUACUUAAAUUGUAACCAUGAUCCUUGAAUUAUAUUUUCGUAUCUGAAUUUCAAUAAAAGUUGGGUUUGAAAUUUAAAAUUCGGGAAAAAAGAGGUAUUUAGUUAUAUAAUAAACAAACUCAAAAAAAUAUGUUCAUGCCAUUUUGGGAAGAUGUGAAGCUCCUUGGAGCGUCAAAACCUUUAUGUUCAAUAUUCAACUCUUCUUCAGCUCCUUUGACCAAUUUGACCGAAUUCAAUUGAAUUUAUUGAGACAUGUACAACGUACAUUGAUGGGUAUUAGUUUGAUUGGUUCAGCUUUUUAGUGUGUUCUCAAGUGGUCAUGUGUUUAAGUCCCUAUAGUAUUAUCGUGUGUGUGAGUUUUCUCCUCUCUUCUUACUAAUUGUGCAACGAGAAAAAAAGAAUCAUUUUGAAUUCACAAAAACAACUUUAUUUAUUAACGCUUCCAAAUAAAAUAUUUUUCAUGGUGGAUAACAAAGAGAUUCAAUUUCGAAAAAUACAAAAGAGAUUUUAAUUUUCAGUUAAUCAGUAUUAGAUAAAAAAAUAUUUAUCAUGGUUCAAUAUCAAAUUCAAUAAAUUUGACAGUAAAUGAAAACCCAAUACAAUCAUUUUCUUCAUUUUGUAAUUUUAUCAGCACAAUAUAUUUAUUUAUUUAUAGUUCAUAACACCGCAGGAUUGUACGGUAAAAAAAAUCAAUACUAGUAUGAAAUCUACCAGAAAAGAGAAAAAAGAAUAUAAAGUAUUUGUCAUUUAAUUUCCGACGUUUCAAAAUUAAUAUUUUAAAAAGUUUCUACACUAAUUAGGAAGUGAAAAUGCAUGAAGCAAAAAAAGAAUGUGAAUAUUACUGGACUAACUUGUAAAAUAAUCUUACAAAAAAGAAAUUUAAAAAAAAAACCAGCUAAAAAAAAAAACCAUAAAUUUGUGAAAAAGGAAAAUAAAAUAAACUACAUCACACAUUGACCAAAAAAAAAAAAAACAAUGAGACACGUCUUUAUCAGUUAACAACCGCACUCAAUACAAAGCCACAGACACCUUACUUGCUGCUGUGUGAAAGAUUUGUGCACUUUCACACACAUUAUUCAAACCCUUCUGUUCUGUUUUGUUUCUUCUCUCACUCACUUCCAAAUUCCAUUUCCAAAACCACCCCCCUUUCCAAAACGGACUUCUUUCCAAAUUGACCUCUAAUCCCCACGUAAAUAAAUAAUUAAUUUCCUUCGCCUAGCUCUAACCUUGAAACGUCAGCGUAUCAUCGACUUACUAAACAGCCACAUCCACAGUUUCGAUUUCAUCUGAAUUUACCAAAACAACCUCGCCGCCCCCUCUUCCCCCUUCCCCAAAGGGGGCCAAGUCCUUCAAAUCAUUGAUAACACGACGCUCCGACAAACCAGCCGAAAGCAAGGCCAUAAUCGUAAAUAUAGGCUUUGGGGCCUUGGUUUAGCUGCCCCUUGAACAUCGUGAGAGUGAAGAAGUUUGCCAACGUCAAAGAGGACUGUUAUCCCACCCAGUCAGCAGUAGCUAUAAAUACUCUCUCUUUCUCCCUCUCUCUCUCUCUCUCUCACUCUCACACAUACAAAUACAAAAUUAAACGCGCAUAUACGCAUACACAAACGCUUUUGCGCAGAUCGUCGUCUUCCACAUUCGCUCUGAGCGGUACUGGACUGGACUGGACUGUACUGGAUUGAGCUCGUACGCUGAGGAGAAUGGCCCUCCGUCCAGGGCUUAUCCUAUCCAUUUCUCUUUUACAGGCAUGAACUUCGUUUCUGCUCUGCUUUUUAUGAUAAUGUCCAAAAGACUUUCGCCAAUUUUCUCGCUUGUUUCUCUGCCUUUACUUUUCCUUUUUCUUUCUGAAUAAAGAGAGAGCAGGAAAAGCUUCCUUUUUUCCGGUUGUUGCUCAGGAAGCAGAAAAAGAAUUCAAGCUUUUUUUAUUUUUCCACCUUUUUCUGUUUGAUUUGAUUUUGUUUUUGUUUAAUUUCGGCAACUUUAUUUUUCUACAAAGAAUUUCAAGUCUUCCUAACAGUUUUCUCAGUCACCAAACAGACUUUUGAUUUCGAAAUUGAAUUUAUACUGGUGUGGUCAUCACGAAGAGUUCCACUAUGUGUGCUGCUAAUUAUGUGGCAAAAACUUCUGUGAAUCUCACAGUUAGGUUUAGGCACAUUCGAUUUCGUUUCAAGUAUAAGCACUUUUUCACUUUGAUUACUUUCACUAAUCUCUCUCUCUCUGUAUUCAUGCAUGUGGAUGCAGGUGGUCUUAUGUUUUCUCUCUCUAGCAUAUGCGCAGACGUCCGUAACGACUAAUGCUACAGCAGGGUGGGGCUUGCUUGAUAUUUUACGUGCACAACCAAACUACAAUUUGCCCACAUUAGCAAAUUUCUGAGGCUUAAUUAUUUUUUUAAUCACUUAAUUCUGCUUACUUUUGCAAUUUGUGAGCUCACUGAUGCAUAUGGUGGUCUAGCUACCCAAAUUACUUGCCCUGCUUUUGAAGUGCUGCUGAUGCGGUGUGCAUGCGGUCUGUCUGUCUAUAAUGUUGCCUGAUUAGCAGUUUUUGAAUUGCUCAUAUUGCCACUGUUAGCUUAAUUUUAUUCGAACGACAUGCCCUGGUUCUGAAUUAUGUCCUGUUCAUAUGGUCUCUCUAUGAUAAUUCAAUUAACUUUCUUUUAGUUCCUGGAACUGUAACUUUUGUUAGAAGUUUGUGAAUAUUUCAUAUUGCUGAUGAAUCAUAAUAGGCGGGCCUAUCUCGUGCUUGAUUUUUGUUUGCCUCUGGCAUAUACUAUAUUUGACAAAAAACAGUUGAGCUUUCUUACGUAACUUUUUUUUUUCCUUUCUAUUUUUCAGGGAAAGGCAUUCUGAAGAAUAUUGUGCCAUGUAUGGUAUUUGUGGAAAACGUAGUGAUGGAAAAUACUUAAACUGUCCUUUUGGCUCUCCAUCUGUGAAGGUACAUGGUAGAAGAAGUUACUGCUCUUUUCUGGAUAACAGUUUAGCUUGAAGUCUACCUUUGCACCUUAUUCUAUCAGAAUCAAUGAUGUUAAGGUUUUUAAUCACCCAAUUAUCACAUAUUUUAUCUCUUCCAGCCAGAUGAUUUGCUUUCAUCCAAGGUCCAAAGUUUGUGUCCAACAAUUACUGGAAAUGUUUGUUGUACAGAAACUCAAUUUGACACACUACGGUCACAGGUCCAGCAAGUAAGUAAUUUUUAGUUUUAGAGUUGGACGUGAACCCACUCUGCUAAGAAACUAGAGUUGUUCAUUUUCUCUCCAAAAGCUUUUCACCCUCACCCAAACAUAUAGCAUUUAUAUUCUUUUAAUUUCUAUUUUUGCAGGCAAUUCCCUUUCUUGUCGGUUGUCCGGCAUGCUUAAGAAACUUUUUGAAUUUGUUUUGUGAGCUUACCUGCUCUCCAAGUCAGAGUUUAUUUAUCAAUGUGACUUCUGUAGCCAAGGUCAGGAAAUCCUGUUCUUAUUUCCUGUUUACCUAUUAAAAUUUUUCUGUGUUCCCACACCAUCCUGCACUCCAAUCAUGUUAUCAAUAAAUAUUUGAAUAAGAAUGAUACUGAUAUAUAUUAUUAUAUUUUGCAUUUACAAAAUUUCCUGCCAAUCAAAAUAUGUCUGUUCAAUUCUGCAACUCUUGGAUUGCCAAAGAGACCUACUGUAAGCCAUUGUUAUUUUAUGAUGUAUGAUGUUCUUUAUAGACAUUAUAUCUAACAUGUGCUCAUAUGGUAUCAAUUGUGCCCCUAUGUCUUUCAUUCAGGACUAUACUUGAUAUUCAAAAUUGAAGUCUUAUAAUUGUUGUAUCAAUAUAACCGUUUUAAAAAAAAUAAAAUAAAUAUUUGUUGUAUCAAAGAAAAACAGAAAUGACAGCUCACAGUUAUCUGGUUAAAAGAUUUAAGUCCCCGGAAAUCAUUUAAAAUUAUUCCUCUAUGUUCUGUUUCCUUGAUUGUUUAGCACAUGAAACUUUUGAGUUUCAUUUGGUGGAUGGAAAAUGGAAAAAGAAACAGAACAUUCUUGAAUUAUUUGAGGUUGUUUGUUACCUGCUUAAUUGAUCGGGCAACAGAAAGGUUGGUUGUUUGUUACCUGCUCAAUGAAUUGGAGAUAACGGAGGUGGCUAGAUUGUUGGAUUUAUUGGAGGGUGUGAGGGUGAUCACUUCCAGAUUGGAUAAGAGAAGAUGGAAGCUUGACCCCUCCGGUCUCUUCACCUGUCAUUCUUUCUGUUCUCAUAUUCAGAAUUGUGAUGAGGGGGAGAUAUUCUCCCCGUACACUCAAAUUUGGAAGGCCAAGACUCCUCCGAAAGUUAAGAUCUUUGUGUGGCAAGCGGUGUUGGGAAAACUAAAUACAGGUGAUACAUUACAGAGACGUUGUCCCUAUUUAUGCAUUAGCCCUCACUGGUGUGCUCUAUGUAAUAAGGCAGGGGAGAGCGUGGACCAUCUCCUGAUUCAUUGCCCUUUCUCUCUAAAGUUGUGGGAGACACUAUUGAAGGAAGUUAACAAGGUGUGGGUAAUACCAGAAGGCUGCUUUGAACUUUUUUCCAUCAGAUUUGAUGCUUUGGGAAGGGGAAAGAAAGCCAAAAUUCUCUGGGGAAGUCUGAUGCAGGCAGUGGUUUGGAACCUAUGAUGGAACGUAACAGGAGAAUUUUUGAGGAUUAUAAGGGAGUGGGAGUGGCAGAGUUAUGGGAUAGAGUGAAGUUUUGGGCUGCCCUUUGGGCAUCAACUUCCCCUGCUUUUAAGGAUGUACCCUAUCCUAUAAUUAUGCGCAAUCUGCUGCUGUAGUAUCUUAAGGGUUUGUUUUAUGGUUGGUUGGUUAGUUAUGUGUUGAGUGGCCUUGUGUCUGUUUCACCGGCUAGUGUUUUCUUUUUACCUGCGUGCUAAAUGGCCUUGUUUUGAUCCUUACAAUUUGAAUAAAAAUGUUUCUAUUAAAAAAAAAAAUUGAUCGGGCAACAGUUUGAAUUUUCUGUGAUGAGUAAGAUACUCUCUAGUCUUUUCCUUAGAAACAAGUUUUUCUUUGAGAGAGACAAAUACUGUUAUUUAGAAGAGUAUAGAGUUAUUUAAGGAAGCUUUAUCCCUUUUCAGGUUAAUAACAAUUUGACCGUCGAUGGGAUUGACUUUUAUAUUACUGAUGCUUAUGGUGAAGGGUUAUAUGACUCCUGCAAGGAUGUCAAGUUCGGUACCAUGAAUUCUCGAGCUAUGGAAUUUAUUGGUGCUGGUGCUAAAAAUUUUAAAGGUAACUUUAUUCUUCUGAAAUUGCAAAUUAGGUCUCUCUCUCUCUCUCUCUCUCUCUCUCUCUCUCACACGCACAUGCACAAAUGUACACUAAUAUAUGCACAAAUGUACACUAAUAUGGAUUUCACCAUUAAGCGGGGAAUGAUAAUGGAAACACAAGCAUAUGAAAUUGGUAUUAAUCAAGCCACAUGGCUACUUUUUCAAUAUCUGAUAAAAUGUAACUAUGGCAAUAACGCUGCACCUUUUCUUUUCUUUUUUAUUUAUAAAAAGUGGGUUUCUUAGCCUCUGGGCUUUGCAAGUAGAGGGGGAUGAGAACACCUAAUUGGCAGAGAUUAGAGAAUGCCUAAUUGGUAUUCCAUUCUGUGUUCUAUACAAAUUAUGCAGUGGAAAUAUACAUUUUUUAGCUAAGGCCAAGUGCUUGUAUGUCAAUGUCUUGGUUUAUGCUGUUUAAUAACUAUUAGUGCUUUUACUGUGAUUUAUGGCAGAGUGGUUUACUUUUAUCGGUAGACAAGCACCUUCUAAUGUGCCAGGUUCACCAUAUGCCAUUAGAUUCUCUUCAAGUGUUACAGAAUCAUCUGCUAUGAAACCUAUGAAUGUCUCUACUUAUUCAUGUGGUGAUAAUUCACUGGGCUGUUCCUGCGGUGAUUGCCCUUCAUCUACAGUUUGUUCCAACACAGUUUCACCAGUUUCCCAGAAAGGAGGUUCAUGCUCAGUGAGAAUUGGGUCCGUUAAGGUGAGAGAAGAAUAUUUGUAACUGCGAGUAGAAUAUUUGUAACUUCUGGCUCGCACAUCAUUUAACUUGUUCAUAUUGGAGGCAGAUUCACGUAGGUAGUGUGAAAUCGGGUACUAUAGAUGCUUUGUUUAUAUGAUUUCCUCGUGUGAGAAUUGCAGGCUAAAUGUAUUGACCUUGCUGUAGCGAUUCUAUAUAUCGUAUUAGUUUCUGUGUUCUUCGGAUGGGGUUUGUUUCGUCGGACUAGAAAAGCCAACCCAGCUUCUAUGACAAAUCCUUGGUGGAAUGUAAUGGAUGACAGUGAAGUUCAUUCUAUUAGCAGGGAGAAGAAUGAAAAUCCUCCGAUGCAGGUGAAAACCAAUUUCGUUUCCAAGUAUGUAUAUAUCAAUUAUGUGUGUUCUGAGAUUUAUAUCAGUUAUGUUAUGUGUAUGGUUUGAAAGUUUAAAUUUACUUCUGUGUUUUAUGAUUUGAUGGUAUGUGUGCUUGUAGCUGGCCGUCUGCAUUCCAUCUAUGUGCAAAGAUUUAUGGAUCAUAUAUGUCAUUUCUGAACUCACCGGCCACAGUCCGGGAAUCUUGUUUUGAUUUUUCCAUUUUGUUGCCAUUUUUGUGUCCAUUGUAAGUUUUUGUUUUUUGGUCAAGUGUAAGUUUUAGUUUUUAUGAAGAAUUUCUUAUAGCAUAUCAGAUUACCAACAUACAUUGAUAAACUAUGCACAGAAUGGGGAUAUGCUUAGGAAUUUAUUUUUCAUAUGUUUCUUUAUUUAGCAACAAAGCAGGAAUUAUCACCAGAACUUUUGCUCAGUUCUACUAGUAUUGUCUUCCUCUUUAAAUGUUAUAUAAUUUUUUUAGCUUUGUGAGAUUGUUCUCUAGCUUGCAUAUGCUUAAAAUUGCUUCUAUAUCUGCACAAUUCUUUACCGCAAAAAACUGUCUCUAAUUUAUGGUCAAUUGUUCUACUAGUAGUAUCUUCCUCUCUAGCUUCUGUGGUUUACUCGCUUCAUGAAUGUCAUUUCUGUAUUUGUGCUCAACUAUAUAUUACUGUUAUACUCUGUAGCUGCUGUAGGCUGCUCUUAUCACGUAUUUCUUUAGACUAAAAUUGUUGAUAAUAGGUGUUUGAAGAUGCUCCUCACAUUAGAAAUAGUGUCCAACUUUCAAUUGUGCAAGGAUACAUGUCAAGAUUUUUCAGGUGACUGCUAUUCCUUGUAGAAUGAUUACUACCUAUUAAAUUUUUAUGUCAGUUAAGGCAGAAAUGGUUUCUAACUUAAAAGAUUACAUUUUGAUGUACAGGAGAUAUGGAACAUGGGUUGCUAGGAAUCCAGUCAUAGUGUUAUGUUCAUCUUUGGCUUUAGUUCUGCUGCUUUGUCUGGGUCUUAUCCGUUUCAAGGUGGAAACAAGGCCUGAGAAGGUUCGAUUUGCUACUUGAAUAGUUUCUCUUAAGUUGUGUUGUUUAUGUGUUAAAUGAAGAAAUAUGCUCGGAUGCACUGUGAAUGAUCUUUUUUUAUUUAUUAUUAUUUAUUAUUUUUAUAGUUCUCUGUGUUAUUUCAUAAAUUUAUUUCGUUUUUGGCCUUUUGGAACCAUUACUGAAUGUAUCAUUAUAGAAUGGAACACAUCUGCAUAACUUAUGACCAGUUUCAAAUGUUGUGAAGAUAUUUUACAACUCAUUUGUUGUUAAUUCAAAAUUAUGAUCCCGUGCAUACUCUGAUGUGGGUUUCUUGUUGAGAUUUAGUAUUCCAGACUCUACUAUGCAUGCCAUGGUUUUUGAAGGUCACCAGAAAUAUAAGUUUUUACAUUUCAAUUUGUUAUGGCCUUGAAGAAUUUUAUGUUAUCAUCUGACUUUUACAAUUCUGUUUGACUUAAGUUGUGCAAUGUUUCAGCUAUGGGUAGGGCCUGGGAGUAAAGCAGCAGAAGAGAAGAAUUUUUUUGAUAGCCACCUAGCCCCUUUCUACAGAAUUGAGCAGGUUCUACAUUGUUACAAUGUCUUCUUUUGGUAAAUUAUUUUUCAUCUUACGAGCGGUUAUACUUUACCGUAUGGGGAAGCAAGCUGGUUAAUUUUCAAAGAUAGCAGAAUUAGGACGUAAAAAAGUAUAGAUCCAACAGACAUUCUAGGCUAGGGAAUGAGCUGCAUCUUCUUUUUGUCUUGCCAUUAAUUUUCAUCAUUACUUUGUUUUUGGUAUGGGAGAAACUCAUGUCACACCUUGUGUUUUUUGCAGCUUAUAUUAGCAACAAUUCCAGAAGUUAAGCAUGGUAGCUCACCUAGUAUUGUGACAGAGGAAAAUAUUAAGUUACUUUUUGAGAUACAGAAGAAGGUAUUUGAUCCUUUACUCUAGUGAUACUUUUCAGAAUUAAGUGUUUAUCUAUUAAGAUUGGUAUGAGACUAGCCUUGUUCUUUGUUUUGAAUUGUACUGCAGUUAUUUAUUUUCCCUUUUUUUCUGCAUUUGAUGUGUGGUAAAAACAAGUACUUCUAAUACAACAUUACUUGUAUUUGACAGGUUGAUGGAAUUAAAGCAAAUUAUUCUGGCUCGGUGAUAUCUCUUGCUGAUAUUUGCAUGAAGCCAAUGGACAAAGAUUGUGCCACUCAAAGUGUCCUACAGGUACAACUCUGCUUUAGUUGAGUGUUCCCAUAUUAAAAUGGUAAAUGAAAUGAAACUAGUAUUUUAUUAAAUUUAUUUUUAUUUUAACCGUGUGUCACCCUUUAAACAUCUCUUGCAAUCAUUCUUGUCAAUAUUUUAGCUACUUGUCAUGAAGUGUAAUUUGAGUCUCUUAAAGCCUGUAUCUAAAUAUGUGUAUUGAUUAAUAGCCCAUCUGUAGCUGUUCCUCUUCCCCUCCAAACCCUUCUUUUUUGUUCCAGGCCGAUGUACAUAGAAAAACAAAGAGAACUAUGUGUCUAGUAUAUGAAUUGAUGUGUACAUGAUAAUAAACUUUUUUACAGUAGCCUUGUGGCUUGUUGAAUGCCUUGUUUGCUUGAUUGGCAUAUGUAUCUUGCACUGUGAUUUGAGUGUCAGUUUUCUUUUUCAAGUUGUUAUACCAACAAUUUAUUCAUUUGUAAAAAAUUUUUGCAUUGUGACAAAUGGAUUCUUGAAUUUCCUUGUGUUAUUUUUUUUUAAACAUAACUGUUGAAUCUAGAUAUCUUUAAGAUUUUGAUUAAUAUUUUCUCUCGUGAUAUUCAUGGUACCAGUAUUUCAAAAUGAAUCCUGCAAAUUAUGACGAUUAUGGUGGGGUUGAACACCUAAAGUAUUGUUUUGAGGUAUAUUCUUAUAUCUCCAUUUACAUAUUAUCUAAAGCGCGGAUCUAGUUUAUUGUCUAAUGAGAUUCUGUACUGUUGGUUAAAUUGUUACUGAUAUUUGUUAUCUUUUGGGGCCAUCAUUUCCAAUAUAAACUAAUAGUGAAAGCACAAUAUCUACCAGAUUGAACAUUACUUACUAUCAACUGCGUGUUACUUUGGAUAGAGCAUGAAUGGUUAAAAUUAACAUUUGUAAUCUCAGGGUUUGUAAGACAAAUUUGGGCCUGCGGUAUAGUUUAUAAUAUCAUUUAAAGCUGUUUUGGGUAGUGGGUUGCAUACGUUAUGGGUCCUAUUGCUUGAUCUCUGAUAUGUGCAUCUUAUCCUUGUAUGCUUAUCGGUGUUAUAAUGCCAGUAAAAAUGGCGCUGCAAUAUAGUUGUUUAUAAUUUCAUUUAAAGGUGAUGGAUAAAUGAGGAUACUGGUCCUAUUGUUUGAUCUAUAAUAUGUGCAUCUAAUAACUGUAGUAUGCUUAAUUUGUAAUAUUUAUUUUCUGCUGAAUUUGUCAAAUAAUAAGAAUGUAGAGCUCUGUCCAUAUUUGCUUUUUUCUAGAUAAGCCGGAAUCAUCUGAUCAGAUGACCAACCUCAUGUCUUAAUACGCUUAGAUUUCUCUCCAGCUUGUUCGAUAGUCAGUUAGCUCGCUAGUUUUUUACCAUUCCAAUUUUCUCAAAGAACAUGGCAAUAAUUUCCUGUAAAGUAGAUCCAUUGACAUUUGCGUUUUCUGUUUUUCAAGCACUAUUCGUCUGCUGACAAAUGUAUGAGUGCAUUUAAAGGCCCUCUUGAUCCUAGCACAGCCUUAGGAGGCUUCUCUGGGAAAAACUAUUCCGAGGUAAUGACUUUUCCAUUUUUCCUGAACUAAUUUACUUUUUCAUCCUUUCCUGUUCAAAGUAAGAUUGGAUUCUUUGAGUUUUUCAGAACCAUUAAGGUUUUUCCAACGCAGGCAACGGCGUUUCUCGUAACUUAUCCUGUAAACAAUGCUAUUAGUAAAGAAGAGAAUGAGACUGAAAGAGCAGUGACGUGGGAGAAAGCCUUUAUUAAGUUGGCAAAGGUUUACUUAUUUGUGUUAUCCUGCAUGUUCUGCCGGAAAGCGAACAGAUUUAUCUCUACUUAUUUUUCCUUUCUGAGGAAGAUAGAUUUAUCCCUCUUAAACUCUAAGAUUAGUAUCUUGUUUGUGAUAGGAUGAGUUGUUGCAAAUGGUGCAAUCUAGAAAUUUAACACUUUCUUUUUCAUCGGAAAGUUCUGUUGAAGAAGAACUAAAAAGAGAAAGUUCUGCAGAUGCCAUUACUAUAUUGGUGAGUGUUUCUUUAUUUCGUUUUAGUUGCAUGUUUCCUUUCAUAAUCAAAGCUCAGAAUAUACUGUAAUCCUGAAGUUCUGUACUUUAUGCAGUUAUGCAGAUUUGAUAUUUCUUAUUUGUUAUGUGUAACUGUGACAACUGACAAGUUCCAUCAUGCGAAUCUUUUUAAAUGCUUUUGUCCAUUUAUGGUUUUUUAAUUCAUUGCAGAUAAGCUAUCUAGUGAUGUUUGCCUAUAUAUCUCUUACUUUGGGUGACUCACCUCGUUUAUCAUCAUUUUACAUUUCGUCUAAGGUAUGGUCUCGAUUAUUUUCAUUUUGUUUCGACGGACUGGGAAAUUGUGUUUAUUUAAAAAAAAAAAAUUUAAUGUUAGUUUCUCUAGGUUCAAAAUUGAGACAUUAUUUAUAUCAUUAUAAUUGUGUAUGGUUGACUGCCAGGUAUUGCUUGGUCUCUCUGGAGUUGUGCUUGUCAUGCUGUCGGUUCUUGGAUCAGUGGGUUUUUUCAGUUUAAUUGGUGUAAAAUCUACGCUAAUCAUUAUGGAAGUUAUCCCAUUUCUUGUUUUAGCUGUAAGUUCCCCAACACAAUAUAUAUAUAUAUAUUUUUUUUUCUCCUAGGUAUAUUUUGAAUUAUAUAUGUGGCUGUCAUGUUCUGACUGAAGCAUGCAUUCUCGCUUCAGUCUAACUUUUAAAACCUUUGAAAUUUUAGUUUUCCAGAAUUGUUUCUUAAUGCAUAUCGGUUACUGAUUGUUUUGGUGUAGCUUAUAAUAUUCUGGGGUUUCUCAUCUUAUCAGGUUGGGGUAGAUAAUAUGUGUAUACUAGUGAAUGCUGUUAAACGGCAACCCUUGGAGUUGUCUCUGGAAGGGCGAAUAAGCAAUGCACUUGUGGAAGUUGGACCAUCCAUAACACUAGCUAGUCUAUCAGAGGUUUUAGCAUUUGCGGUUGGAAGUUUUAUUCCUAUGCCAGCAUGCCGUGUGUUCUCUAUGUUUGCAGGUUGGAAAUUUUGUUCCUUCUAACUUUUGUAUCUGUGAAAUAGUUUUAAUACUUGGUUGUUGUCUUUCUGUCUUACCUCAGGCCUAUUCUAUAAACUUACUUUUGUGCAUUCUUCUGCAGCACUAGCUGUUCUGUUGGACUUCCUCCUUCAAGUAACUGCUUUUGUAGCUUUAAUUGUUUUUGAUUUUCGGCGAACUGAAGAUAAGAGGGUUGAUUGUUUCCCAUGCAUGAAAAUUUCAUCAUACACCAACUCUGACAAAGGUAUCAGAAUAUUUUUAGAACUUACGUCUGGUUGGUGCAUUAUCCUUAUUGCUCCCACUAAUUUUCAGUAUAUGAUAUUCUUAUCCAUUAUUUAUUUAUUUAUCAAAAUUUAUAUAAUCUCGAUUUGAAUGCUGUCUUAUUUAGGCAUUGAUCAGAGAAAACCUGGUUUGCUAACGCGCUAUAUGAAGGUGACUACUUCUUUUCUUUUUCCUUUUUUUUGUUUUUUUGGAUUUUUGUGCUGUUGUAGUAAAUAGUCUGGAUAGGGAUGAUACAGACAGUCUGGAAUUACCAGGGUUUUCAUAAUUUUCUUUAUUUUUAAGGCUGCAAUGUCAAGAACAUAAGUUACUUCAAAUUCUACUGAAAUGCAUAUGAUCAACUGAACCUCUAAGAAUUAGUAUGUUGUAUGCUAUUUUUGUACGUAGAAAAUUCUGUGUGGUAACUUUAUUAUGACUCACGUAUGCUUUGCUGUGAUAAGUCUUUUGCUUUCUGCUUUAACUUUUAACUACUUUGCUUUUGUUUUCCAUUUUCAGGAGAUCCAUGCUCCAAUUCUCAGUCUUUGGGGAGUUAAGAUAGCUGUCAUUUGUGUCUUUGUUGCAUUUGCAUUGGCUAGCAUUGUGAGUUCUGAAUUUUUCCCCCAAUGUAUCUUAUAUAUACCAACAUCAAUUUUUCCGUUUGUGCUCAUCCCUCUCCUCAGUUAAUCUCUGAUUCUUUCAAACUUCGUAGGCAUUGUGCACCAGAAUUCAGCCUGGGUUGGAACAAAAAAUUGUUCUUCCCCGAGAUUCCUAUCUUCAGGUCUAUAAGCUGCUUACCUAAUUAUCAAAUUCAUAAAGGUUAUCGAUUAUUCUGCUUUUUCUGUGAGGUAACACUGCCUUCUAAAUAUUGCAGGGGUAUUUUAAUAAUGUUUCAGAGUACCUCCGAAUUGGACCCCCAUUAUACUUUGUUGUGAAGAACUACAAUUAUAGGUAUCAUACUGUUAUUCAUGUUCACUGUUUCCUGAUUUAUCAUGAAUAUUUUCAAACUACCUAUGAACAUCUAGUUCUUGAGUCAAUAUGUAUAUCGUAGAGCAGGAUCAGGUGUCCUUGAGGUUGCUGCUGAUACUCUAGCCAGAAUCACAUAUAACCAUUCUGAUGAAAACUUUACCAUAUAUGAUGUCCUUCAGCAUUUCAUUUGCUUUUCCAUGUACAAGCCCAAAAGUGGCUAUCUGGAACAAGAACUACUCUUUUGUUUAGAAAUUGCAUCACAUGUAACCUUUUCAAAUCAGACGGUUCUUUUUGGAGUAAUGUGAAGUUCCAUUGUUGUUUUGGAUGGUAAAUUUUUUUUUUUUAUGUAAACACUUAUCUUAAUGCUUCCAUCAUUGAAAAGCUUCUUCAUGCUUAUGUUGCUCUGCUCCUCAGUUCAGAAUCAAGGCAUACGAACCAAUUAUGCUCAAUUAGCCAAUGUGAUUCAGAUUCUCUUUUGAAUGAGGUAAAACCUUCUUCCAUUUUUCUCUGCUAAUGGGCAAAUUCCUAGCUUUUAGGUACAGUUUUAGAAAAUUACGUGCCUCCUGCAUUUUUUCUGAUUCACAUGCCAGAGUUUCCCUGAUAAUCGUACAAUGAUUGCUUUCCUUUUGAUGUCUCUUGCUUGUUUCAGCUGGUUGUUUCCAAUAUUACUGCUAAACCCAUUGAUCAAUGUGUUAAACUGAAUUCAUAUAUAGGGAGGAAAGUAUUCAUGUUUUCCCAAUCUCUAAUUAUAUACAGGGAUUAGUAUAUUUAAUAUAAUAUGUAAUGCUAGAAAGUUAUACCGUUAAUAUCUGAGUUCUCUGUUCAUUUGUUAUAUGAACAUUAUUGGAACUUAUCUCUGUUGAGCUUUUAUUUUACAACUUGCUAUUAAAUUUCAGUACGAAUGGUUGAGAUGGUUGUACAGUUUGGUUUAGCAGUUCAACCUUUUUUAUUCAUGACCUUCAUUCUUCUGUCUUUCUAUGUUUCCUUUUGUAUUCAAUCAAUAUGCAUGUGGCUUUUUCCAUCCCUUAUGUCUGCUUGCCCCAUUUGUUUAAUCCUCUUUUUAGAUGUGUGUGUGUGUGUGUGUGUGUGAAUUGUCCUUCUGUGUCUAUAGAAUGCUAGAUCAUCAUUAAUUCCAGAAUGUAUGUGUUUGAAUUGUCUUCUUGUGUAUUAAUUCUGCAGUGUAUAUGUCUGUAUUGUCCUUCUGUAUGCAUAUGAAUUGUCCUUUUGUAUGCAUGUAUUAAUUGUCCUUUUGUUUCCGCAGAUUGCAAGAGCAUCCUUAACUCCAGAAUCAAGUUACAUCGCCAAGCCUGCUGCGUCAUGGCUUGAUGAUUUUCUUGUGUGGAUAUCCCCAGAAGCAUUUGGGUGCUGUCGGAAGUUUACAAAUGGGGCCUACUGCCCUCCUGAUGAUCAGGUGAUGAUAUACAUUUUUUCUUAGCAUGAAUGUUUGUAUGGUUAUGGAAUCAUGUUAGUAGGAUCUGAUGUUUGGAAUUUCUUUUAGAUCCAAAAUUGCAGAGUUGUCUUCAGUUUUGGAAUCAUGGAAUUACUUUUAUCUCAGUUGAGCAUGUUGAGUAACUCCACCAUUUGGGAAUUCAAAACUUGCUGGAUAUUUUCAGUCAGAUACCAUUCUGAACUAUGGAUCAUUACAGUUACUUGCAAGAAUUUAAAAUAUAAAAUUUGAAAGAAAAUACUUCUUUUGCUGUCCUCUUAUGCAUCUUUUAUACCACAAUUCAUCCUGUUUUGUUUUUGUCUCUGCAAUCCCCUUGAUACUAAAAUUAAGUUGUCUUCCAGCCUCCCUGCUGUUCUUCCAGUGAUGGUUCCUGUAGCCUGGGUGGAGUGUGCAAAGAUUGUACUACGGUAAAAUAACUAAUGAUGCGUGUUAACCAAAUUUCUGUGUCUAGUUACGCAUGCAUCAAUUCUUGUUUUCAAUUUUUCCGUGUCAGUGCUUUCGUCACUCGGAUCUGCGCAAUGGGCGUCCAUCUACCACACAAUUUAAAGAAAAACUUCCUUGGUUCCUCAGUGCUCUACCGUCUUCUGAUUGUGCUAAAGGUGGCCAUGGAGCUUACACUAGCAGUGUGGAAUUCAAAGGUUUGUGGAUUGGAUUUUGUGCCUUUAUGAUUAUGUGCUUUCAGGUUAAACUGUCAUUAGAUGUGGCUUGUUAUUUAAAUUUGCUUUUUUAAUAGUUAAUCAUACUUUUGGCUAUCAGGCAAUGGAAGUGACAUUAUUCCAGCAUCAUCAUUUCGUACAUAUCAUACACCUCUCAACAAGCAGGUAUCUCGUCUGUGAUCAAUACAAACAAAAUUUUCAUUUUUUAUCUAUAUCUCUUUUAUUAAUUAAUACUAAAGUGAGCUCCAUAACUUAAAUAUCUACAAUUUAUUUUAGGUUGACUAUGUAAAUUCAAUGAGGGCUGCUCGGGAGCUCAGUUCUAGACUUUCUGAUUCUUUGAACGUAAGAUUUGAAGGCUACUUGCGAAGAUGGUUGAUAUAUUUACAGUACAUCCUUAAUAUUAUAAAGCCACAUCAAAAUAUGUAUUUCCAUAAAUUCCCUUUAUAUAUAUAUGUAUAUAUAUAUAUAGUAUUAAUUAGCUCAUAUAUUUUUUAUACAGGAUUGCCGUUGUAAAUAACAAACUAUAAGUAUGUGUUCAAACAAAUGGCUAUUAUCAUAACUAAGUUGAAAAAGUGUCAAAACAACAGAGGAGAGAAUCUACCAAGUCAGUAAGCAUGUAAACUGCUAGUUUCUUAUAAUUUUAAACCGUGAAACCCAACAGGAAAACUACGCAAAAUGUCUCCUUUUCUUAGGAGUUGAAAGCCCUUUCCUUUUUGCAUGGGUCGAGAUGUGAGUAGAAUAGUCUUUCUCUAUGCAGAAAAGGAUUCAUUUUUUUGAACUUCUGAAAAAGGGUCCACUUUUCAAAAUGGGUUCUUUUUGGGUCCUUGGACCAAAUACCCAAUUUUUCCCAGUUAGAUUGAGUACAGCAGUCUUGUCUUGCCCAUUUCCCUAAGCCACUGGUUUAUCAUUCCAUUAUGUUAUGAAAAUAAAUUAACUUAUUGAUUCACUUAUGUGUUAGUCGUGGUAUGUCUGUUGAACUGAUAUUUCUUUUCUGAUGCAGAUUGAGAUAUUCCCAUAUUCAGUAUUCUAUAUGUUCUUUGAGCAAUACCUUGAUAUUUGGAGAACAGCACUGAUCAACCUUUCUAUAGCCAUUGGUUAGUUAUUUUUUCACAGCACUGAACAAGAAGAUAGCAGAUAGCUUAACCAAAAAAAAAAAAAAAAAAGAGAAUCUGUAAAAUGUUACCUCUCUGGAACUCGGAUUUUACUGUGAACUUGUAUCUAUUUACUUAGAUGUGCAUAAUGGUAAAUGCGGUUUCAUUUAUUAAAAAGAAUAACCUGGAUAUAUAUUAUGUUGUACCAGGUGCUGUGUUUAUUGUUUGUCUAGCUAUCACUUGCAGGUCAGUAUUGAUAUACUUAGCCCUUAAUUCAAUUGCAGACAAGACUACUUGUGGUGUUCAGCUUCUUUAAUUUAGAAAGUAAAUUUUGCAAGGUGGUGUUUGUUUUGAAUGACUGAUGUAUUGAUAUUUCCUUCAAAUUUGUUUUGUAGUUUAUGGAGUUCAUCAAUUAUUCUAUUGGUGUUGGCAAUGAUUGUAGUGGAUCUCAUGGUGAUCUUUCUUCCUUAAAAAUUCUCUUUAAAAAAAAAAAAAAACACUUCCAUUAGCUCUCAUCUUUGCUCACAAGAUACUAUUCUACAGGGUGUGAUGGCAAUUCUUAACAUCCAAUUGAAUGCAGUCUCUGUUGUUAAUCUUGUAAUGGCAGUGGGCAUUUCUGUUGAGUUUUGCGUGCAUAUGACACAUGCUUUCUCGGUCAGUAUCACUCUAUUAAACAUUUAUCUGAAUAUUUACUUUUGUCUUCAGGUUAGAAAGAUUUGAUCCAUCAAUUGUUCCAUUUCAAUUUUUUUUCAAAGAAAAGAUAAAAAGAUACUUAGUAGUCAAAUUUUAGGAAAAACAAAAUGCUUUCAAUGUAUUGCUUUAAUGACUUUAAAUGGUUUUAAAAUUCUUUAUAAGGUAUUUGUAGUUUCUCUGCUCAUGGUCACUUCAAAUCUUGGUUUGGUUAUGACUUCAAGUAACCUUUGGUGUCAAUGUGUCAUGCUACCCUUUUCUUUUUCUGCAAGUUGUGUAUCUAAGACUUUCUGUACAGGUUAGCACAGGAGAUAAAGAUCAGCGCACCAAGGAGGCUUUGGCUACAAUGGGAGCCUCUGUCUUCAGGUACUUAUCCCAAUGGCCGAUCCACUUUUAUUUAAAAAAAGGACACUAACUCCUGUUUAUUUCGCUAUGUUUGGUACAUCUCAGAGCAUCAUACGCAAUAGAUCAUGCUUCAUUAAAGAGCUGAAAUGUUUAAGUCUAAUGCCAAUGGGCUCUUGUGUGAUACAGAUGUAGAACUUUUCUCCGUGCUAACUUGCAUCCCCAAUUUUGUAUAAUAUCUUCUUUGUUGACAUGCUUUUGCAGUGGAAUCACAUUGACGAAGUUAGUUGGGGUCAUCGUGCUUUGUUUCUCGAGGACGGAAGUCUUUGUGGUACUAAAUCGUUUACUUCAUUGUCUGAUUACACUGGCCAGUACUGUCAGCAGCCUCUAAUGUAUUUCCAUCCUUUGCUCUUAUAGGUAUAUUACUUUCAAAUGUACCUAGCAUUGGUUCUUCUUGGUUUCUUGCACGGGCUCGUGUUCUUGCCGGUAAGUUAGUACACUUUUCGUAGCUCGUGUCCUUACCACCCUUGAUGCAAAUCAUAGAACUCAUGAACACAAUAAUUAACAGCUGAAAAAGCAAAUAUGUUUGAAUAAAGAUGGAAACCAUGGAUCGGGUUUCUCCGUUUGGAUUGACAGUACUCAACAUUGUGUUGUUUGCAGGUUGUCUUGAGCAUGUUUGGUCCGCCUUCGAGACGCGUGCUCAUUGAGGAGUGACAAGAUCGGGCACCUGUUCCACCACAACUAUAAAGAAGCUGAUUACCAGAACAGUUCUUUUUCUAGGGUUCACCUUUUUCUUUUGUAGCUGAAAUUUUAUGUAUGACAAGAAUAACAGAAAUAUCUAAAAUAGCUCAACAUGUAAAUUAUAUAGCUGCUACUGAGAAGAAGAAAAGAAAAGGUUUUAAAGAAUUUGUUCUUUUGGCUCGCAUCAAGUUCAUAAUCCAACAUGGAUCAUACCUUAAUGUGGAUGGUUCUAUAAAGAAAUUUUGACAAGCAAGAGUCAAGAAGUCGGAAUUUUAAAGCAAUGAAUGUUUCGAAUUUAGGAUACAUCCAAUUGCAGAAUUAUUAAAAACAUUAAUUAUCGAAAAAAAAUAAAAAUUCUUUUAGCAAUUUCUUGAUGGUUGUUGGAGUUGUCUUGUGAUGUCUCUGCCAAAACACAACAUGGUUGCAAUUUGCAGAAAGGGCUGUGAACCACUAUCACCAACUAACUCUUAGUUUACUAGUACUUUCACUUUUCCAUUACUGCUCGUUUGGUACACCGUAUUAGACUCUGGAUAUGAGUAAAUAGUCUAUGUCAGGUGUUUGGUGUCAACUUGUAUUAUUUAAUUACCCGACUAUUUUAUACGGGUUGGGCUUUUAAUACUCUCCUUACCUGACUAACUAAUACAACCCACGCACCCCGGUUUAGAUAAUACACGCUUAAUUAUACGGCUAGAGAAAAAGAAUACGCGUUCUACGAAAAAAAUCAGACGCUCUUUUCAUCUUCUUCUCCCUAGGAUUGUUCUCUACUAUCUUCUCCACAUAUUAUUUUCUUCACUCUUCUCCAGGUAUCCAUCUCUCACUCUCUCUCUUUUUCAUACUCUCUCCAAUAUGCUUUAUAUAUUUCAAAUUUUUAGUGGAAAUUAGGUUAUGAAUUUUUUUUUUUUGGCAUUUUUUUAAUCGAAUUUUUCUUUGUAUGUGAUAUAGUGAUUCGACAUUGUGGGAAUAUUUAGAUUGUUGGUAUUAAACAGAGUAUCGCCAGUUUUCAUCCAAAAACAAACAACUGUGCUAAUGUUGGUAGUUUAGUUGAAUACAUACAUACCUGACGACUAGGAGAGCAAAAUUACAAAAUUAAAAUUGUAUGAACCUGAAUUCUAGGAACCAUUUUUUUUUCUUUGUCAAUUGCUAUUAGAAAAGCAAAGAUGGACUUGUCUAUUAAUGACCAAAUUAAGGCACUACGGCUAAUUUUGGAGAAAGCAAGUGAUGAAAAAACAUUCCUGACAAUGGAUGGUGCAAUGAGAAAAGCAUUUGUUUUUCUCUUACUUGGGGCGAGGGAGUUGUGAUUCACUCUUUGAUGUAGUUUGGUUUAUGAACAACUUUCUCUUUUGCUCUUAUCACCUUAAUAUGUGAUCACUUUGAAUUAUACAUUAUUUGGUACUGUUUUUAUUAACGUAUGCGAGUAUGUUGGAAUUUUUAUGAGAUACUACAAUUAUGAUAAUGGGUUAUAUGAAAAAAAAAUUUGGCAAAAACAAUUGAAAAACAAAUCUUGUCAUAUGAAUCUUACCAAAAAAAAAAUUUCUGUCAUUUGAAUCUCAAUUUUCAUUAAAAUUAUCAAAUAUUUUUUUUUAAAUUUUUUUAUUUAUAAAUAGUUUGAUAUGAUGUUAUCCGAAACAUCACCAAACACAGUAUAACUUAGUCAGAUUAUUUAUCCGGAACAGCACCAAACGCCUUAUAAUAUUAUGGAUAAAUAGUCAGUACUCUCCGGAACAGAUUAAUACUAUCCGACAGAAAUUAAUCAGUACAAUCCGACGUACCAAGAGGUUUUAAGUUCGAAAUCCGUGUUAAGAACAACUACACAAAUUAGCUCAUAGUUUAUUAGUUUAUUGAUAUUUCUCUUUUUAAUAUUAAAAGAGGUUCAAGUUUCCCCUCUCUACCUGAUUUAUUUAUUUUUUUUAAAAAAAAAGAGAACUACCACCGGUUUGAUUCACAAGAGCAAACUCCUCGGGAUGGAUAGCAUCUGAUCAUAGAGAGUUGUUCUUCUAAUUUUUCUAGUUGACUGCAGUUGUAGGGUGGUCCUUGCAGUAGGAGAUAGUGGACCGUAUCUCUAUAUCAAACCUAUCCAUUAAUCUAUUUCAUUUCCCACCACGUUCUCCCUGCAUCACAUAUCAUAGAAGCAAACAAUCUAUUAUCCAAAGAUAUGCUGCUGAGAUCUCAAAAAUUCAAACUCAAAUUCCUCAUUUGAAGUCCUUCCAUCCAAAAUUCAAAAUACACUAAUUAUUUAAAGAAUGGGCUUUCUUGAAGCUCAAGGAAUAUCAAGAAAAGUCACCAAAACUUUUUUACCAAGCAUAUAUCUUAUAAUAAAAAAAGGCUAAAGCUGCCUCAAUAUACUUCCAAGUCCUUGAGGUAAAAUGUAAUUUCAGAAUAGUAAUUCCAUGUUAAUUUCAACUGAAAAAACUCUACAUCAAUUUAUUUGACGUAGUUCACGAUUUAGACUUGAUCGAAAACUAAACUCAUUUACAGGAUUAAAAUUGUUAAACUUGAAAGACAUGAAUCAAAAUGAAAAAUGAGUCAAACUGGGAGAACAAAGAUGAUUGUAUGACAAACUUCAGGUAUUGGUUAGUUAAACUUCGAAAAUAGGCCUACUUUAUUAUUGAAAAAGAAUUAUGUUCAUUCACUAAAAUAUACAGACAAUUAUCAACAACUAGCUUGUAAUUAAAAGAACUGAAAGCAAACACUAUCAACUAGCUAAUAGACCAACAUAGUACACUUUAACCAAUGGCUUAAGCUCGACAUCCCCAAAUAACUGCAGUUUAUCAUGCAGCACCCAAAUAGUUCUUUUCCAGUAUCCUUGCUUUCAGUUCUGUGAGACACAAAACUUGCAUUUUUCUUUUACAUUACUUUUUGUCGACAUUGUGAAGAUUUCAUACUCCAACAGCGGAGGCUUCAACAUCCCUCCCUACUAAAAUUAAUAAAGGAAGGUGCGCCUCCAUUUUUGUAGAAGGAAAUACUCUGCUACCUCAGUUUUGCAACUCAGGGAGCAUCAUGACGGGCCACCUGUACCUAUAAACCUUUCCAAAUGAUGACGAGAAAGAUGGAGAGAGAGCUUAAUUGUAUUGCUCUGUGACGAUCUGCAUACAUCAAUACACUCCUCUAAAUCAGCAUCACAUGUUAAUAAGACCCACUCUGAGUCAUCAUCCAAGUAUUUGAUAUAAAAUUUACUCAUGUCUUCUACACUAAAUCGCUUUGCGAUUUCUUGCACCAAAUCUUCAUAUCUCCAAUCACUUUGCAUGCGAAACCGGGUUUUCUCAUCUCCGUAUGCGACUUUUACUCUUUGAACCUCCCCUUCUUGAGCUACCCCAUUAUUCUUCAGUGAAGGUGGAAUAGGCUGCAAUUUUUGCAGCUCGUUGAGAAUUUUAUGGCUCUGGGAUCUUGGCAGUAGCUGUGUUCGAUCUUGACCAAAGGCAUGCAACUCUGCUUCACUUCUGACCCUCUUUAGCACACCAUCGCCAGAGUUAUCUCCAACAAUUGGAUCAUCACCACCAGUGACAUUACAUGUGGGGCGAUGUUGCUGUGUCCUGCUGGAACAGCAUUGGCUUGAACUGGAACUCUGACUGCAUGAAGAUGAGGGUGAUUUUGAUGUAGUAGCCUGGGGGCUGACAACACCACCUUCAGGUGACAAGUUUGUUGGCAUUGGCUGAUCACUCAGCUUUGAGGUUGAAAAUGGGCUUGUCCCCGAUAAAUUCGGAGAUGUUAACUCUGGGAAGUUUGUAUAGAAAGAGUUGAUUUGGAAAGCCCCAGAUGCACCUUCGACUGAGUCAAUUACAAGUUGGAGUUUCUGUAAAGAGUGACCAACCUUCUUAAUUUUUCGAGAUGGCCAACGUUUAAUCCCGUGUUGUCUGCAUAUCCUUUUCAAGGUUGUGGAGCAAACUAAAUACGAUAAAUUGACAAAGGAAAAACAACCAAUGACAAAAGAAAUACAUCAAAAUGUUGACAGUAGAAAGUUUAACAUAAUCCACAUAAAUAUUGAAAACAGCAGAUACUAUUGUGUGCUAGUAUUGUGGAACUCGUGUAAUUCACUUCAAAUUUAGGAGGUGUAACAGAAAAUAUGAACAUGAGAAACCUUAUUUUGGAAGACUACAACGCACAUAUGUAGAUUAUACAAUCCGUACAUAUAAAACAACCAUUAAAUUGCAGAAAGUAUACAAACAGUUAGCAAAAUGCCAUACAAGCAUUCACAAGAACUAAAACGUGAAAUAGGAACCAGGUCUAUUGCAAGAAAUGCUUACCUCCAAUACUAUUUGCAGCAUCUUUUAGGCUGCCGGAAAAAUAUUUUCUAAGAACUUCCAAGGUGAUGGCUUUUUCUGCCUUAGUACGUCUUUUCUCUCUUGUCUUGCUCACACCAACACUUGAGAAGCUACCCUCGCCCAAAGCAGAACACUCUCUCCCACACUUGACACCAACCUUUAGGUUCGAAUCUGGUUGAUGUUGCCUUAACUUUGAGGAUUUCACACCCAGCACCUCCCUUGGAUUUUCCAUUGGGAAUAUUGAGACAUCAUUACCACUCAGGUGGACCUCUGUGAAACUGGCAAUACCACUAGGUCUGGGAUCCGAAGAGACUAUCAUCUCACUGACAGGGAAAUCAGAUUCCUCCUCUAGUUCCUUGUCUGUGACAACCCGUAAGCUCCGGCAAAUCUGUUGUAUAAUUAAGGACAGUGAAUUUAGCAUCUUUUUCUGUUCUUCUGGAUCCCUGCACUCCACUGGCAAGAAGAACUCCAGAACAAAAUCAGUUGAACCAGUUUUCAUGCUCCUUAGACGUAUUGCAACGGCUGCAUGCAAUCCGAACAUCCUGGCAUGGUGAGAUAGCGGAUACUCUGUCUUGACACAGGAGGUUAUGUCAUCUGAGAAGCAUGGUUGAUUGGUCAUAAAAGCUUUCCCAACAAUGCCUUGGCCUUUUAACAAGUGAUGCUCAGAGCAAGCUUCAUAAAAUCCCUCGAUAUAAGGAUCGGUCACAUGGAAAGCAUGAUCCACAGUUGAAACACAGUGAACGUAGUUGUCAUCAGAAUGUCUGCACCCAUCUUUGCCUUGUUGGAUGCAUGACACCCAAGUUUGUGCCAAAGGCAAUUUGUGUGUCUCGCAUGCACAUCUCAAGACCUCUUGGAUCUCGGGUAAUGCAGCUUGAUAGGGCUUGACACACCCCUGCUAAAAUAAUCCCACCAAAUGACCUUAAAAGAAAAUUGGAAUAACGUGAACAUCUAAUAAAUCAAUUUUUCUUCAGGGAAAUUAUCCGUUUACCUUUACGUUUUGAGUACUCCAAUUUCUAGAACUUUGAAGAUCAACAGCCUGCAAAUGAUAAAACUUGUCCAGAUCAGAAAAAAAUAUUCAUGUGAAUAGCCUGCAAAGAAUUACAAACAAGUCAUUAUAUGCUUGUGAUAUGAAUCUCAAAAGUCCUUAUUAAAGGAAUAUGGAUCUAAGAAAGUUUCAUAUCACAAGCUUACAAUAAUUGGUAACUUACACUGUAUUUGGAAUUUUGACCCCAAAAAAAACAUUUUAUUUGGAAUUCAAUUACUUGUAUCUUUAAAGCUAUAAUCACAGACAUCAAAGAAAAAAUACUCGCUGAUGAGGAAAAAAAAGCAUUUUUCUUUUUUUAAUGGAAGACAGGAAGAGAGACACAUGACCAAACUAUUAUGAAUAAAACAUAAAGGGACGUUUAUCUGCUAAGAUAUAAGAUAAAGUUGUCACUCUUAUUCUCAGUAACUUGAAUGAAAGUAAACAGGGGGACAAAAGAUAGGUCAUUUCUAAUCAUAUGUCCAUCAUUAAGUUGGACUUUAUAUGCACCGAUUCAGAAAGCUCAUACUGAUAAGCAUCAGAAUUAAGUUUCCAAAUUUUAGACCGGAAAAAAAAUAAAUAAAUAAAAAAUUAAGUGUCCCAUUCAUCAGGUGUGAAUGAAUAUCUGUUAAAAGAUCAUGGGUUGCUUUCCUUCUCGUAAUUUAAGUCUGAAUUCAUUACUUAUCCUCUCAAUUUGGGAAACAAGACUAGAGGAUUAACAAAAGAACCUUAGUUAUUAAUAUGAAAGCAUAAGAAAAUGAAGCAAGAAGUUUUACAAUGUUAAGAUCAGAUGGCCACACUUUAAUUUAACAUGGGGAUUCUCCAAAAAGAACUAAAAGUUACCGAAAAAUGAAAGACAUAAUAUGUUUCGACAACAUGAUUAUCAGUUAUUACAUCUCUAAGGACUGAUGGGACUUUGAUUGAUGUCAACUUUUGUAAAAUUAUCUGUUAAUAUUCAUAACAAUACUAAUAAGCUCCAACUGCCUCUUGCACCACUUUACACUGCAUUCACUGACCUGAUUGACAGGAAAAAACCGAAAUGAAGUACGAAAUUCUGAUUCAAGGAAAGAGUACAGACCUCAAGUGCCUUGCAAACACUUUCAAGCUCAAGUUGAUACUUUAUCUUUUGGGUGGUUGUAACAACCUCAAUCACACCCAAGCAAGUCCUACUACCUUGUUCAAAUAUAGGAAGAGCUAGAGUUCCACGUACAUCAUAACGUUGAGCAUAGUCAACCCGUGGGUACUCGUCACUUCUGAAGAAUCGAACAUCAGGAGUCCACUCAGGAACCUGACCUGAGAAAACCCGGCCAGGCAACCCCUUAACCAACUCCGUAGAAUCCUCUCCAGUUGAGAAUUGAUAAUUAACAGAGAUGUCUCGAUAUUUGGAAAGCCUGGGACAGCUAGAAUCAAGCGAGAAAAGGUCAUCAUUAGUAGUUAAAACAUUUCUACCCCCUUUAUUUACAGGCACCCAUACUUGUACAAGAACAUUUUUGUCUCUCAUGACUUCUCGAAUGCACACAAGAGCCCUCGUUAGUCUCUCCAUCACAGAUGAUGCAGGACCUUGAUUUCCUAAGGGACCAAUCCACCACCUUCUGUUCAAUUCAUAACUUUUAAUUGUAGGAUCUGCUGAGUGACCAGAGUACCCAUCAACAUCUAUCAUAUUCUGGCUCGGAAACUGAGGAUUCACAGGACCUUCAUGGAGUUGUUUGAAGAAUGGUGUUUGUAUCACUUCUUGAUUACUGUUUUCAGAUGGGUUCAUGGUCAAAUUGCCAUUCGCCUCCAACAUAUGCCAAAAAACUGAGGGGUUUAUAUGGGCACUAGAAUUGGCGUGGCUUUGAUUAGGAAAUUCAGGUCCAUCUGUGGUUUCCAACCAGCAUCCCUCUAAGAACAGUUCAUCCAUGAAGUCUAAAUCCGUAGCGGAAUCAGGUUGAGCUCCCAUCAUGGUAGCUGGUGAUAACACAUCAUCGUCCAUGAUGACCCUUGUGCAGAAGCCCCACUUUCUAGAUUAUGCUCAGCUGUAUUCUAGAACCUUUAGGUCCCAAAAACCAAUCUGUCUGUGAGCUAUAAAAAAUGAAGAUAUCUUAGGAACAAUUUACGUCUUUAGCGUCCUGCCUUCAAUUCCUAGUUUGUCCAAAUUCCCCAAUAUCAUAAACAAGAAUUUUUUGAGUACAAAAAAUAACAGAAGAAAUUGCAAACAAAUUUUCAUAGAGAAUUAAGGAAAGUAAAGUUAACAAAUCAAAACUAAAACACAAACAUACGUCAUUGCAGGAAGAUUAUAUUCUCUUUUUUCUUUUCUUUUCUGGUACGGGAUUAUAUUCUCAAAUUAGCAAAAACUAAUCAAAUCACCACCAGUAUCUAACACAGUAAUAGUAUAAUAGAAUAGAAUUUCAACGGAGAACCUUGGCCUCCCAUAUCCAUAAAAAUUGCAAAUAUCAAUGAUUCAAGUUCAAAAGGGGAAGGCAGAACAAAAUAUAAUAAUUAAAAAUAAAAACCCACUUUCUACAUCUUCUUCGAAAAUACUCUACAAGUCUUCUACCAACUUUGCGUUCAAGAUUCCAAUUUUAGCAGAACAAAGUGAAAGAAAUAGUUCCAUCAAGGAAGAGAGACUGAAAUCAAGCAUUUCAUAAUACCAGAACUAAUCUAGUUUCUGACCCAGGACAAAUAAAACCAGAACAGAACCAAAAAAGAAGAAAAAAAGGAAUAAGAAUAACUCACUGUGUGAGGAUUCUUGUGGAUACCCAAGUGGGUAGUUUUCUUGUAUCAUUCAUAUACUUUUUUCUGCAAUACCCAUAAAAACUGUCUGCAAGACAAGGAACAGAAACAACGGAAAACCUUAUAAAGAGCUUUCAAGAGGCUAUUUCCUUGUCCUAGUUCCUUGUGAUAUCUCCCCACAAUUCCAAAGUUUCAAUCUGGGCCUCUUCUCCUUAGAAAACAUGACUUAUUCUGAUUCCAGGCUAUUGUUGUGUGAGAAAGAUUCUCACUUCUGCAUAUGGACCCCACAUACACGUACGCAAGAAACCAAUCGAGGACAUUGUACUUCUCGCUUUAAAGUCAACCAAUGGCUUAGCAAAGAUUACACAGAGAGAGAUAGAGAGUGAGCUUGGAAGAGAUUGGGAGAAUCGUAAUAUAAGAAAUUUAAAAGAAAACAAAAAAAGAAAAAGAGAUUGAGAGAAUCAGACAGCUGAUUCUUAAAUGGUGAUGACGCCAUAAUUUGAAGCAGUGGAAGCGGUGGGAAUCAAAAUUCCCUCAACACUGAAUAAAAUAUGGAGGGAUCGUGCCUCGGCACUCGCUAUCUCCAGUUUAGAUGCUCUCCUACGCCUCUUUGACUCACUCAACCUGUUUAUUUUAUUCACUUCAAGAUUUUCUUUCUUCCUCAUUCACCAAUAAAAAACAGAGUAUUUUAGGCCCAGUUUGAUGGAAGUGAGAAAGAGAGUGGAGAUAGGAUUUAGAGAAAAGAUGAGAGAAGAUGAUGGAAGUGAUGAGUGACAAAAGUAUUUCAAAUUAUUUUCAUUUUUAUUACUCAUUCCUCUCAUCCUCUCAAUCUCAUCCAAUUCUCACUCUCAUCUCAUUUUCCCCUUACUAGAUAAAACACCUCAAAUUAUGACCCAUUACGACCAAAAAAAAAAUAAAAAUCACUCAUCUUUUAACUUCAUGUACAAUUUGUUGGACAUUUGUAAAGGCAUACACAAAUCCCUAUAAAAUUUGCAUUCAACCCUUCUCGUUAGUUAGAUCGUUGGUCCAUGCGUUAUAUGUCUACGUGGCACUGAAACAUACCUUAUGCACUCUUACGUGGACAACUUUUAGAGGAUAUUUUUGGCAUGAACCCACAUGGUCCCCCACUAUCCCCAAACAAAGACCCAAAUCAACCCAAUUUGAUCCUUAUGUCUAGGGAUGACAAUUUUCCUUGUUGGUUACGGUCUUUGUAGGGAUUUACCUCUAAUAAUGGGUUAGGUAUGAAGGACGAAAAUUGAAUUUAGGGAAAUUUCUGCGUAUAGUGUUUGGGGAGGGACGAUGAUGGUAUUUCAAUCCCCUUUCCAAACUCGAAAACCAUUGUAAGGUCUGAUAUAAAUUUUAUUUCAACAAUCCGAACCUUCCAUUUUUUAAGUCUUUAUUCAAAGACUAUUCUUACAAAAAAAUUAGCAAAAUCGAAAACCAUUAAGGCAUUCAAUUGUGAUCAACAAAAUUAACGAUCCUGGUACUUCAAGAAAACACUAAAAUACAACCAUCGAUUGAGCUGUAAAAUGAUUUCAAAUUCAAGUGAUUUUUUGCAAGGAUGAUCUUUGAAGGAAUACCUAAGAAAUAUACGAUUCAGAUUAUGAAAAUAAAAUGUGGAAUCCUUUCCGAAACAAAACCCAUAUCAUAUUUUCAUUCUCUCAAAUCUAAAGGAACCUGGAAGAUACAUGUCAUUGAUUUAAACCCUUAUAUGGGCUCGAGAAGGGUAUCCCUCAAAUAAGCAUAUUUGGGCCUGAGAAUGGUAUCCCUCAAAUAAAUCAGGAUUGGGGGACACACAUAAAACCACAUAUUUUGACACACUUUCUCAACCACUAGAUGAUGAGUCAUCUAAGGGUUAGAAAUGCAUUUGAUAUGAUUUUUUUUAAAUGGAAAUAAUUUUUUUAUUUUUUUUAUUGUUAUAAACAAAAUGGAAAUAAAGUAUUCAUUUAUUGAUUUUGGGAAACAUAACUCCACACGGUAUAUGAGGUUUCUCUUCCUCAAUACUACUACCUAUUCAUUUCUCUCCCCUCCUAGCUCUCUUCUUCAUUCGAUCACUGACUCUGUCUUCUUCUCCUUUAUCUCUCUCUAUCUCUCACCAUUUCCCCUCCUACCUCAUUCCCUUCCUCAAAAACUUCAUUAGAAAAAUAUCAAAAUUUAAAUAACUCUUCUGAAAUUUUCAAAUAGGUUUCACAACUAUUAAUAAACUUGAUUUACCAAACUUAAGAUGGGUUUCAAAUGGGCUUCAAAACUAUUGACAAACUUGCCUCUUUGUUAUUUUGAAUUGAUCUUAUGAUUAUGACUCAUAGAUAAUGGUACUUGAAGCUAGCUAUUAGACUUUGAUAUUUAUUUAUUUUUUGGUAGUUAAAGACUAUUAAAUUGUGAUUUCGUGUAAAAAAAACUUUGUAACUUUUUACCAACUCCUCCAUCGUCAGCAAACACAACUGUCACUUACUCUGCAAUCACUCCUCCAUGUUUGGGGAAUCUCUUUCCUUUUUUCCUUUCAAAUUUUACUCAGUUAUUUAUCGGGGAAUUUUGAAAAAUUUGGAAUCAUUGUAGCAUAGAGAGAUUGGGUUAGCUUCGGUUCUAUUCGGGAACAGUGAAGGUUCAGAGAGAGGGAGAAAAAAUUUGAGCACCACUCUCUCACCUCCAACUCUGAAAAAUCACUCUUCUCAUUCGAUCAUUCCAUUAUCACAAAGUAUUAUCCUUGUUCCAUCUUCAAUUUGAAUUUAAAUAAAUAAAUCAAUACAUGGUGUAUGAGUGAUGAAAAUUUGACUGAGAGAGAAAGAAGAAUGGAGGAGAGAGAGUAAUGUCGGAAAUAGAAGAAGAAGAACAAAGUUGCAUGAAAAUAAUUAAUUUGGAAGUCAAAUUGAAUGUCAGUUAUCAAAAUUUUAUUGGAUGGGAUAUUUAAGUGUAAAUUUUAAAAAUAAUAAUUGUUGUUAUGUUUCCAAAAAGUAAUAAAAGAGUAUUAAUUCUUUAAAAGAACACACACUAAUGACAAAUGCAUUUUGAGCCAUUAGAUGGUGAAUGAUCGAAUGGUUGAAAAUGUGUAUAAAUUUGUGGUUUUUGUAUGUCCCCUGAUCCUAGCCCAUAUAUACAUACAUAUAUAUAUACACACACACACACACAAACACAAAUACAAUUAGGGGAAUCUCUCCAACCUUACUAGUACUAUAAACGUAAAUAUGGUGUAUACAUAGUGCAUCUUUCCAGUUUAAAAAGUAGCCUUUUUAUUUUUAUAAUGGGGUGGGGCGGGGGGAUGGGAAAUCCCCGAAUUGAAUAUUCUAGGUAUGAAGAAAGGGAUGGGGAGAAAAUGCUUAAUGGGGAUGGGAAUGGGAAUGACAUACCCACCCCUGAUUCGCCCUAUUACCAUCCUUACCUAUGUCCCAACAUCCACAACCUAACACGAUGUCUGCAAGUCAGAGAAUGGAAUUGGAUGCACCCAAAUGUUGAUGCGGCAAUAACUCUCGUUUGAGGAUAUUGUGGACCAACAAUAACCAUACGAGAAGAUUUUGAGGCUGCACCUAUUAUGGGGUAAGUGUCAUGAGAUAUCUGUACCAAAAUUUGGGAAUAUGGAAAUGAAGGUUAUAGUUGUUUUGAAAAGAUUAAGGAAGGAGGAAGAUGGAAAAAAAAUUGGAGGUUAGAGUUCUUUGAAAACUAAGAGGAGUCUGCGAGCUUCUCUACUUGGUUCCUAGAGUAGUAUCAUUAUGCUAUUGGGGAAUUGCAUUUUAUGAUUGGUUUAUGUACUCUGAAAACUAGUCAAUAAUGAAAAUGGGGAGAAUUUUGUUAUUUGUAUUUGGAGUUGAAAUAAAUAUGCAAAGUGUGCCAAAAGUCAUAAACUAAAAUUGUCUCAAAAGCCAACAUAAUUCCAUUGCCAAAAUAAACAUAGUCAAGUCAUGAUUUCAUUGUUUAACAACAAGCACCAAAAGACAUGAUGAACAAAUACUAUCAUUACAUAAUACACAUUCCAAAAAAUGUCCCAAAAGGCAACAAAAAAGACUACCAAAUUUGCAAUGGAUUUCAAAAUAGUGUGCAAAAAGGUAUAAACUAAAACUUAAGCUCUACGUUCUCUUUGUCAUUGCUGCUCUCACUUCAUUUGCUAAUACUUAUUUCACUUGUGGAGUAGAAACUGUUGAAGCUUUGCUUGGCUGGGAAGCCUUUCUCUUUGUACUAGCAACCUCUCUUUUGGAACAUUGUGCAGAUGAUGAAGCUCUUUCGACCUACAUUUAACAAACCAAUUGGUAAUAAGUAACAUUUAAAAUCAGCAAACUAAUAAUAGAGAACUGAGAGAAAAUUAAAAUUCGCAGUAGCAUCACCCUAUUGAUUUGCAAUAUUUCUUGGACUUUAUAUACACCUUGAUGGUGGGUUUUCCCUUUCAGGCAGAUGCAUAUGGUGACUGGUUUUGCUAUGACCUUAUGAGCAACAAUUAGUACACCUAAUAUGGAAUUUCUUGUUUCCCAAUCCAUUUUUUGGCUACUCUUAUUAGUUUUCUCUUCAGGUCCUUCCAUUCUUAUCUUUCUAAGCUUGCCAAGUUGUCUAGUGUAUGUUAUGGCUUCACUAUCAACUGGUUUGUUUUCUCCCAUAAUUGCGGUCCAUUAAUAGACACGAUGAGGUUGUUAUAGCAGCUCAUGUAAAUGGCCUUGCUAUAUAAGGUUCAUUAGAUAAGUGUGUCACAUAAAUAUCAAUUUUCAUCACUGUUGGCACACAUUUUCAUCACAUCAUCGUCCGCUAGCAUAGUGAUGUAAUAUUAUGGUCAUCAUAUCCUAACUCUUUAACCAUGCUCCCAACUUAAAACAUAGACAUCAUAUCUUUAUUACAAUAGUCAAUGAAGUCUACAAUCCCAUUUACAUACAUGUUGUCACACAUAGUACCCUCAUCGUUCAUUCUAAUUGUACCUACAAAGCCACAUAUUGACCAAUAAUUACAUCAUAACAUUCAGAGCUAUCAGAAAGUGGUAAACAAGUGGUAAAAUCCACAUGCACAAACAUCUUGGACCACAAACAUAGGGACGAGUGUGGCUUUCCAAUCACUUUAUGUAUUCAUUGGUUAAGAGAGAAAUAAAGGUUGGGAGAGUGAGGUUCUUGCACUUGAUGAGUUUCUUGUACUGCAUGAGUGUUUAAUAGGCGAAACACACUACUGUACAAUGGUAGUUAGGGCUGUCUUUGAUCCGGUGACAACAACGAAACAAUCAAACCGACAACCAUUUGAGAGGCUGCGGUAUGACAAAAAUGGGAACCCCUACUGCACUGCCGAUAAUAGGUUACCGGCUAUUUCGGUUACAACCGUUCUAUUCGGUGACGAUCGGUUGCCGGUUAAGCACAAACAAAGGAGAAAGAAAGAUAGAGAUAUAUAUAUAUAUAUAUAUAGACGAGUUUGUGGCCGCGGAAAAGAGAAGAAAGGAAGAAGAAAAAAAAGAAAAGAGAGAGGAGUUUGUAGCCAUCUUUCAUCUCUCUAGCAACGGCGCCUAGGCGAGAAAGAAAAAGCUUGGAUGUUUUUUUGUUUUUUUAAAAGACCUGGCCCAGAACAACGUUGUUUUGGCCAAAUCAUUUUAAAACUUUCCCUUAGGCAAAACGACGUCGUUUAAAAAGAAGAGAAGCCCAGCUUCUUCUUCUUCUUCCUCGCAUAAGUGCCACACAAGCUUUUCUGUAUCAUCUCUCUGUCUCCUCCUCGGUCUCUCAUCUCCCUAUCUCUCUCGCUAUCCUCUGUCGUCUCAUCUCUUUGUAUCUCUUGCUCUCCUCCUCCGUCUCUCAUCUCUCUGUCUCUUUGUCUCUCUCUCUCAUCAUCUCUCUGUCUCUAUCUCGGUCAGUUGCUGUUGCCGACGAUUUGGUAUCCUACAACCACAUCCGCAAUCACAGCAUUUCAGCUCGGUCGUCCAACCUCAAUUGGUGGUUGACCGAAAAAGUUAACAGUUUGCCAAUCGAAAAUAUUGGUCAGAAACUGGCAGUUUCUGGUAUUUGCAAUCCAACCGCACAGCUCUAAUGGUAAUGCAUAGAGUUUGUAUGAGUGUGCUUCAAUACAAAGAUAGUAACUAAUUUGAGGUAUGAUGUAGUGAAGAAGUAUGUUGAUGCGAAUCAUAAAGUAGGCUCGGUAACAACGAGUAAAGUGGAGGUCUAAGUUAGAGAAGCCAAGGGCCCAAUAUGACAUUUAUGUGUUUGAGUGAAGAUGAUCCUAGUGUUAUGGAGGAGGUCAACGAUGAUUGACAAUCGGACAAGGGCCCAGAAGGAUGAGAUGAUGUCAGCACUUUGCAAUUGGAGAAUUCCAAGUUUGGUGAUUGCAUUAGACAAUACGAACAAAAAUUGUACAUCUCAACUUUUGUAUUUAUGGCCAUUAUUUUCUUUGUUUGGGAAAAUUUUGAAAUCGGCCACAAAUUUUUUAAACAUUUUGAGUUUUUAAAUACGAAAAUUAAACACUUUUUCUUUCUUGUAAACACAAUCAUAUGAACGUCAUAAAGCACACAUAUCCAUAUAGUUGAUAAUGUGCAUUGUGCGCAUGUCUUAAAUCUUAUUAGGGGGUGGGCAUCGAUAUGGCAAAACUCGAAAACCGAAUCGGGAAAUCGUUAAAAACUGAAUUGACUAAAAAGUUAACAAAUUGCAACCAAACUGAACCAGACCAAUGUCAAUCGAUCUUGGUCCCAAUUUCACAACUCAUAGCACUAAAGCAAACAAGACCGGUUACUAUAUUUAAUAUAUAUUUUUAUUUUAUUACAUAUAUAUAUAUUAUAUAAUAAAUAUUAAUAUAUUAUUUCGGCCACAAUAGAACUGGCCGCAUGUAACGUUUCCCCCCAAGCUCGGCGGCUAAGCCUAAGUCGACUUAGGUUUUUUUUUAUUUUUUUAUUUUCAUUUCUCUCUGCCUCUUCUGUUCAUCUUUCUCUUUGAUAUGAAACGCAACACAGUGAACACACAAACAAAGACAGGACAACAAUGCUGAUGACACAGCUCCUCAUUCCAUUGUUGCUCCUUUGCCAUCGACGAUGACACAGUUGAGGUAAGAACUUCUUUAUCUCAUUCUUCUCCAUUUUUUGAACUGGAAUAUUUCUCUAAUCCCAAUUUCUACUAUCUGCCGUUGAAUUGCGAUUUCUCCUUCGGAACUCCUCCGUCCGACUUCACUAGUUUCUCUCUGGUAAGCAUCGCCUUCGUCUUCGUUGGUCUGGAUGAGAUAAUAUUCUUAGAUUUUUAGUUUGUUUUAAUUAUUUUAGAUUAUGGGUUUCAAUUAGGGUUUACAAUCAAGGGUUUGAAUUGAAUGACAUAUUUCAAUUUGGGCUUUCAGUUAUGGGUUUUGGGUUAAGGUAACAAUUUAGGGAUUUGUUCUUUACGGUUUCAAUUCGGGCAUGUUGAUUCUAAUAUAUGUUCCAUUUGUGACAAGGGCUUCAAAUUGUUGUUGACGUUGCUUGGAAUUAGGCUUGCAGUUGUUCGUGUUGUUGUUCCCAAAUGUAUUUUAUCUUUUUUGCAAUUGAUUAGCAUGUUUGUGUUGCUGAUGUUGAUAUCUUUAUCUGAUGAUGGUUUGAUGGAUUGAUAUCAUAAUGUGAUGAUUUGAAUUGAGAAUUCAUGAAUUCAUGAUGAUUUGGAUUGAGUUUAUAAUCAAAUUUGUUUUAUCAUGAUGAAAUAAGAUGGCAAGAAAUGAUGAUGAUGAUGAUGAUGAAUUGAUAAAUUGAGAAUUGAUUAUUUGAAUGGAUGAGAAUUGAAAAAUGAAUUGAUGAUGAAUUGAUGAGAACCUUGAUGAUUUGAAUUUGUUUGAUAAUGAAAUUUGUUUUAACAGAUUUCUUUAUAUAAUGAUGUUGAUUAAUUGAUGAUGAUUUGAAUUUGUUUGAUACUAAAUUUUGUUUUUGUUUUUGUUGAAUUGUAAUUGAAAUUUGUUUGUGUUAGUUUGGUUUUUGUUCUUAAGAAAUUUAUUUUUUUUAAAAGUAGGUUGUGUAAAUUAGUAUAUUUUUGUGUUCUACAUCUAAUUUUUGGUUUUUUGGAUUGUUAAAUUAGGUUAUGAUUUUUGUUAAUUGCUUUUUAGGUUUUACAAAUCUUGCAUAAUUAUUAAUCAGGGUAUGUUGCUGCUAUGUUGGUUUUGUUUUGAUAUUAGGUUCUUAUUAAAGGAGGGUUGAACCAGUUUGAACAAUUGCCUAGUAAUAGUAAUGAAGUAUGCUCUUCUUCUGCAUUCGCAUCAUCACCAUCACCUAGUUUACCAGUAACCCAAUCUCAAGCCCAAACACCUAUUAAACUAAGUGGUCUUUCACCAUUACCUCGUUCUGAGACUAGAAAGUCAUCAAGAGAAAAAUCGAAGGUAUCGGAUCACUUUGAAAAAUAUGAUGAUGUGGUUGAGAGUGUGAAGAAGGAUGAGAGCAAAUAUUUGAAAUGUAAAAAGAGAGCUAGGUACAAGUAUUGCUUUAUUACUUAUGCCGCGGACCCCAAUUUAAAUAAGACGUCAAGUUUGAGGAAACAUAUUGAGUCUCUAUGUAAGAAAUACUCUGGGAGGGUUGGCAAUGAUAAAAGACAAAAGACCUUGUCUUUUGACCAAGCACUUGAUGGUCUUUCAACAAUCGGGUAUAUUAAAGAAGAUUGGUUAAGGUCUUGUGUAGAAGUGGUAGUGAUGGAUGAGUUGCCUUUUAACGUGGUUGAAGGUAAAUGGUUUAGGAGAUUUUGUGAAUCAUUGAACCCUCAUUUCCAAGUGUCAUCUCGUAGAACACUUGUAAGGAAUUUUAUGGUUAUGUAUGAUGAGAUGAAACAAAAGUUGAAAGGAGAAUUAGCAUAACAUAGAGUGUGCCUCACAACGUACACUUGGACAAGUGUUCAAAACAUAAUUUACAUGGUGAUCACGGAACACUUUAUAGAUAGUGAAUAGAAUUUGCACAAAAGAGUUUUGAACUUUUGUGUUAUUGCUAACCACAAGGGGAACUCAAUUUGUAAACUCCUUAAGACUUGUUUGCUUCAUUGGGAUUCGAAGAAGAUACCUGCAAUCACAGCCGAUAAUGCUUCUUCAAACACGAAGGUAAUAGAUUACUUGAAGUCGAAGUGGGUCAUUGGAAGAAUAGUAGUCUUGUAUUGGAAGGAAAGUUCAUGCGUGUGAGGUGUUGUGCUCAUAUUGUCAAUUUGAUUGUUCGAGAUGGCUUGAAAAAACUAGGAAAAAACAUAUUGUCAAGGAGGAAUGCGGUUAGGUAUGUAAGAUCCUCUCCACAAAGAUUAGAAGAAUUUAAAACUUGUGUUUUGAAGGAGCAAAUUGAAUGCAAAGGAUUUGUGGUGUUAGAUGUUCCAACUAGGUAGAAUUCAACAUAUAUGAUGUUGGAUGCUGCUUUGAGGUUUGAAAAAGCCUUUGUGAGAAUGUGAGAAGAUGAUGAUGCCCCAUUUGCAUCUUGUUUUGGAGAAGAUGAACCGGUUAGGGAAGAUAAAGGGGUGGUUGCAUCUAGGCCUAAAAAGAAGAUAGGGCCACCAACUAAGGAAGAUUGGAGCAAUGCUCUUACUUUUUUCAAUUUUUUUGAGUGUUUCUUUGCAUCCCGCACCACCUUUCAUAAUUUGAUUGCAAUGGGGGAUAAAAUUGGUGAUUUAUUUUUUGGAGAGCAAUUACCAAGUCAAACUCACACCUCCAUGGUUUUGAAUGAUAUGGCAUGUAGCAUGAAGAUGAAAUUUGAGAAAUAUUGGGGUGACCUUGAUAAAGUGAACCAACUUUUGAUGGUAGCAUUUGUUCUUGAUCCUCGGUACAAGUUAGGGAACUUGGGGUUUGUAUUAAAGAGGAGGUUUGAAAACUCGCAAGAUGCUACUAAGAAGAAGAAUGAAGUGAAAAAGAUUUUAAUGAAGCUUUAUGAGGAGUAUGUUAUCCCAUCACCUUCUACUACUCAAAGUAGUAGUCCAAAUAGUGAUAUUAGUUCUACUAUUAGUACCACUAUGACAAGUUCUAACUAAAAAAGAGGAGAGUAGCACCUUUGAAAAAUGGAGGAAAGUUGGAUAAAAGAAUCUCAAGCAAGUAACACUGUGAUACUAGAGCAUGAAAUUGAUAGGUACUGAACCGACCCAAUUGAAAAAGUGAUUCCCAACUUUGAUAUUUUGAAGUGGUGGAAAUUGGUAGAUUAUAUGUUUAGAUUGGAUGGCACAUGGCAGCAUGCGUGUUUUGCGUUUGGAAGUUAAAAUGCAUAUGCAUGUAUCAUGUAUAUGUUGUUUGCUCUGUUGGAUUGUAUUGAAUGUGAAAGAUAGGCUUUAAUUAAAGUUUAGGCCUGAUUGAAAUGUAAUUAGAUUGAAUUACAUUGCAUGGCAUGUUGAAAUUAUUAAAGUUUAGGGCAAAUUGUUAUACAAAUGUGAAACAGGGCCUUAUAUGCUACUAAAGUCCAAUGAAAACAAAGAGAACUUAAAAAGAAAAAAGGAAAAAAAAAAAAAAGGGAACCGGUCUAAACCGGAAAACCGCACCAGGAAUAUGUAGUUCGGCUUGGUGCGGGUUUCCUUCUAUUUUUCUCAAAAAUUGGAUUGGACCGAAUCGAUUUUAUAGUACCAAUUUCGGUGUAAGGUCCAAACCAGACCAGACCGAGCCCACCCAUAAUUCUUAUCCAUUUUAAGUUGAACUUUUUCUAUGCUUUUUAAUUUCUAAUUCAUAAGAAAAUUUGGGCGGUUACCACAAAAGAUAAUAUAGAAUAACUACAUUGAGAAUGGAUGGUUAUUAGUCAAGUUUGUGCGAGAUAAUGACUCAUGGUAAUGGGCCAUAUUAAAACUGAUGUCAUAUAUAUUUCUUCUUUUUUUUAAAGUAAAAGUUUUAAGGAACGAUACAUUUUACCCAGGUCAACUCCCCCAAAAAAAUUUCACAAUUUCCCUAAAAAAAUUUCAUCAAGUAUAAACCUCGUGCACUAUCUCUCGUAUGUAUCGAAACAUAUAAUAUCGCUCUUGCAUAAAAUAUAUAUAUAUAUGUUUGUGCAAAUAAUCUCACGGGAGAAUAUUCGCCAAAGAUUCCUUCGUCUUCUCUGCUUCUCUCUUUCUCCCUGCAAAACAGAUCGGAGUAAAAGGACCACACCCGGGGGGUGUUGGCCAAAGGCCCUCCGAUGCCUAAGUUAGGUAGGGUAUUUCAAGGAAAACCGGGUGGCCGGAGCCGUGUGUGGUGGCCGGAGCCUUGUGUGAGAGAGAGAAAGAGAGGAAGUGGCUAGGGUUCUUGAGAAAUAAUUUCUGCAGAGUUUUAGUAGGAAUUUAGACGUCCCCCCACCAUUGUGUGUGGCUAUGCUUUUAUAGUAGUCUCGGAGGCUAGGGUUUCAGAGGAAUAAUUCUGUAGAUGGAAGGGAAUUAUUCCUCCCCUUUUUGGAAUUGAUUUGAUUAAUUAGGGAUUUGAUUAAUUAGGGUAAAUCAAAUCCCUAAUUGUGGUAGGUAUCAAAUCAAAUCCCGACUUAAAUAGGUAACUCCUCCUUUAAUUGGAAAUUGGGGUAGGAAUAGAAUUAAUUCUCGACCCGAUUAGGUAAUAUUCUAUUUAAUUGGGUAAUCCCCAAUUAAAUUGAAUAAUUCCCAAUUAGGUCAAAUAAUCCCCAAAUGGAAGGAAUUAUUUGACCUAGGGUUUUGAUUUAAUUAGGUUCCCACAAAUGCCCCCCAGCUUCUGCGUGGCGUGUGGCGGCAUGUAGGAGAUGUAAAUUAUCCGUUGGGCUGUCCAGCUGUAACUGGGCUUCCUUAUUUGAAUUGGGCUCAUGCGUGGAGGAGGCUUUUUACUCGGGCUGUCCAGCUGUAACUGGGCUGGAGGUGCGCGAUCUGCUGCUGGAGCAGGUGGCAGCUUGGGUCAGGGCGAUCAUGUGUGGAGCAAGGAUGUGCUGGAGGUUAGCGGCAGAUGGGAAGGGGAGGUUGGCGACGGUUCGCUCGUUCCUCUCACCUACUGUGAUGGUAAGUCGCAUCCCUCUAAUCUGCUACUGUUGCCAUGGAAUUCUUUGCUGUGUCUGACUAACUUUUGUCUCAUGCUUGCAGAUGAUGCCAUCCGAAAGAAGCUUGUUCUCGACCCGGACAUGACGAAGGUUCGACAAGCUUUGAGCAUCCCCACCAAGUUUCGUGAAUGGCGCUGGCUGCUAAGCGAACAUCGGAAGGAAGUCGGUGGCCUGCCCCCUGCUGAAGAUAUUGAAAGGUGGAAGUCGCGCUGCUUGGAGCUAAGUGACUUGCCAGUUGAGCGGGAGGGGUCAUCGACUGAGUCCCCCGAGUGUGGGAAAGCGCGCAGUAGCUCUGCUCGAGAUUAAGCUACAGUUUCACGAUCAGUGGAUACGUCUCCACAGCGAAGGCAGCCGAGAUCUUCUCUUACCACGAACAAGUCUUCUACAAGGGAGGUCUCGCCUGCUCAGAAGGCCCAUAUGGGAGUUGCUCCUGCCUCGUCUGCCGGGAUCAAACGCCUCGUCAGCGCGAACAGCAAGAAGGCCAACGGCAUGCAGGAGGUUCGGGAAAUUCUGCUCAAGUCUUUGCCCGUACUGCCUAAGACCCGUGAUCUGCUAUGCAAGGAAGCCGCUGGGAAGCAAGGUUUGGGUCAUCCGUGCCGAUCUAGGAACCAAGCUGAGAUGACUGUACCUCUGUCCAGCAACCACGACUCAUCUGCGGGGCCACGAACAGUCAAGCGCAGGGCUGACUCAAUGUUGCAAGUUGCAGCUAAAAGAGCUAAAGAGUUGUCUGCUCGAGCGAAGAGUCCUCCAAUUACACGAACUGCCGGUCCGGGAACUAGUGAUAGCUCUGCCAGGGGCGAGCCAGUGUCUGAUCUGCUGAAAACGGGCUUUCUGUCAAGUCCAUCUGCUUGUGCUAAGCUAGCUGAUCACGUGUAUCGAGCUGGUGACCUUUGUGCUUUCUCGAGCCUUCCCUUGGAUAAGCAAGAAGAAGCUGUCAUGUAUCACCUUCAAAAGGGAAUGGUUUUUGCUGUUGGGGCCAUGCGGAACUCGCGUAAUGUUGCCCCCUCUUCUGCCCUGCUCGACGAACUGGUGAAGAAGAAUUCUGACCUGACUGACAAGCUCUCGAACGAGCGGAUUCGCCAUGAUGCGGGGAUUUCCGAGAUGAAGGAGAGUAUGUCCGUGCUCAAGAGUUCAGUUGGCCAAAAGGAUGGUGAACUCAAGUCUCUUAUGGCUACCCUGCUCGAACGCAAGGAAGCCUUCUUCUGCCUCGAACGUAAGCAUGCCGCUUUGGCCUGGAUUGCCAAAAUGGUACUUCUCCUUGCUGUCCCCUCAAAGAUCAUGACGGUGAGCAGUCUGGUCUUGACCUGCCCCCCGCUCAGAGUGGGCAGGUGGAUGCUAUGGAUGCAGAAACAGUUGAAGAGCAGAUAGCAGAUGAAGCUACAAUUGAGGAAGACAAACGCCAAGGUGGGUCAGUUGAUGAGGCUAAGGCGGAUGCGAAGGAGCAGGCAACCGAGGCGGUUGAGCAAGUUGUGCCGGUUGGGCAGAAUGAGGCUGUUGCCAGUGCAGUUGAGGAUGUGACCGGCUAAGGGUCACCUGCUGAACUUUGUUAUUUUCUUUCAAUAAGUGGUCUUUGUUUGACCAUCUUACUUCUUGUUGAACUUGGCUGAUUGACCGCUUUGUUAUGGAAUUUUCAGUUGUCUUUCGAACUUCAAUUCUCAUUGUAUCUUGUAAGUGUGUGUCCGGAGACAUAGUACUUGGAAGACAUAGCGCUUGAAAAAGAACUCCAUUGAGUUUGUGCUCCGGGGAGCAGCUUGUCUGCAAUGGAGGUAAGGCUCGUCGCCUGUAUGCGUAUGUCGGGGACAUAGCGCUUGAAAAGGACUCCAUUGAGUUUGUGCUCCAGGAAGCAGCUUGUCUGCAAUGGAGCUAAGGCUUGUCGCCUGUGUGCGUAUGUCAGGGACAUAGCGCUUGAAAAAGACUCCAUUGAGUUUGUGCUCCGGGGAGCAGCUUGUCUGCAAUGGAGUUAAGGCUUGUCGCCUGUGUGCGUAUGUCAGGGACAUAGCGCUUGAAAAGGAACUCCAUUGAGUUUGUGCUCCGGAGAGCAGCUUGUCUGCAAUAGAGCUAAGGCUUGUCGCCUGUGUGCGUAUGUCAGGGACAUAGCGCUUGAAAAAGACUCCAUUGAGUUUGUGCUCCGGAGAGCAGCUUGUCUGCAAUGGAGCUAAGGCUUGUCGCCUGUGUGCGUAUGUCAGGGAUAUAGCGCUUGAAAAAGACUCCAUUGAGUUUGUGCUCCGGGGAGCAGCUUGUCUGCAAUGGAGGUAAGGCUUGUCGCCUGUGUGCGUAUGUCAGGGACAUAGCGCUUGAAAAAGACUCCAUUGAGUUUGUGCUCCGGGGAGCAGCUUGUCUGCAAUGGAGGUAAGGCUUGUUGCCUGCAUGUAUAUGUUUGUGGGACAUAAUGCUCGAAAAAGUACUUCAUUGAAAAGCUUGCUCUUGUAUUGAUGUUGGUGUGAAUACAUCGCUUUAUUGAAUAAAGAAAAUUAACAACAUAGGCAACAUCGAAAGCAGUUUGUCUUCAAUUGAAGUACGGGAGGCUCGUCGUCUGCUAGGAGUCGAGCUGGUAAGCGAAGAGCUUCACGGAUAGUAUCUCCGAAGGUGGUGGGCAUUCCAUUGUCUUGGAAUUUCCUUCCCUUCUAGAGUGUCGAGGGUGUAACUUCCUCUGCCCCUAGAUCGGCUGAUCAUGUAAGGGCCUUCCCAAUUUGGCUUCAUCUUCUUUGAUCCUUGCCUUGGUGAUGUGAUAAAAGUCUUUCUGAGCACAAGGUCUCCAGGCCGAAACUGUCUGAUCUUGGCCUUCUUAUUGUAGUAGGAUGUCAACUGCUGCUGGUAGGCGGCUACUCGAACAAUGGCCUUUUCUCGUUCUUCUUCGAGCAGGUCAAGGUUAAUUCUCAUAUGCCUGCAGUUUUGGUCAAGACUGCCCACUUCAAUGCUCAUGGAAGGGAUUGUGAUGUGUGGGGGAAUGAUUGCCUCCGUCCCAUAGGCCAAGGAAAACGGUGUUUCUCCGGUCGAUCUCCUUUUGGUUGUGCGAUAAGCCCAUAGAACUUCUGGCAGCUCGUCGACCCAUUUUCCUUCUGCGUCUUCCAGUCUUUUCUUUAGGCAGUCCAGCACGAUUUUGUUGGAUGCCUCUGCUUGACCAUUGCCUUGCGGGUAUCUGGGAGUUGACAGAUGCUGCUUGAUGCCAUACUUCGCAAAAAAUGCAGUGAUCUGCCUGCCCACGAACUGUGUACCAUUGUCAGUAACUAUCGAUUGCGGGCAACCGAAUCUGCAGAUGAUGUUCUUCCAGAUGAAACGCUCAACGUCAGCUUCCUUGGUAGAAGACAAAGCCUCGGCCUCGAUCCAUUUAGUGAAGUAAUCAGUGGCAACGAUCAUCAUCUCUUUAUUAGCAGGUGCUGUCGGCAUAGGUCCCACCAAGUCAAUGGCCCACUGCAUGAACGGCCAUGGGCUAUUCUGCGGAUGGUAUUCCUCAGCUGGCAAGCCAGGGACUGGCUUGUACCGUUGGCAUCGAUCACAUCUUCGAGCAUACUCCGUGGAAUCUUUACGCAUGGUAGGCCAGAAAUAGCCGAUGCUGAGAGCCUUCUGAGCAAGCGACCUGCCUCCAGCGUGAUUUCCACAUUCGCCGUCGUGUAUUUUGCAGAGAACCUCAAGCGUUUGCGGGUACUUGAUGCAAGUGAGAUGAGGCCCGUAGUAUGAUCUGCGGAUAAGCGUGUCGCCUUUCAUGUAAUAUCUUGCAGCCUUCUGCUUGAUUUUUCUGGCCUCGGACUUGUCUUGGGGCAAGUUUUCAUUCACUAGGUAGUCGAUGAUGGGUUCUUGCCAGCUAGGAUCCUCGUCGAUUUGCAUCAGGUCUGGUUGUUCUGCCUCUUCUAUGCUAGGCUGAUCAAGGUGCUCGACCGGGAUGGAGCGUCUGAAUUGGGUAUCCAGUGCUGAUCCUAAGCUUGCCAGUGCAUCUGCGUGCGCGUUCUCUGCUCGGGGCACCUGCUGGAUGGUGAAGGUGGGAAAUGCCUUCAACAGCUCUUGGACUUUGUCAAGGUACAAGAUCAUCCUUGGGUGCUUCGCCAUGUAUUCUCCUGAGGCUUGACUUGUGAUCAGCUGGGAAUCUGAGUAGAUGGCCAGCUUCUUGAUUGAUAGCUCCUUUGCCAAGCGCAAGCCAGCGAGCAAUGCCUCGUACUCUGCCUCGUUAUUUGAAGCCGGGAAGCCAAGUGUGAUAGCUUGCUCUAACAAGGUUCCAUCAGGGGUGAUGAUGACGACGCCUGCUCCAGCUCCUUUCUGGUUUGAUGCUCCAUCUACGCGUAGCCGUAAUAGACACUGCGGUACAAAGUGUUGUCACUUCNNNNNNNNNNNNNNNNNNNNNNNNNNNNNNNNNNNNNNNNNNNNNNNNNNNNNNNNNNNNNNNNNNNNNNNNNNNNNNNNNNNNNNNNNNNNNNNNNNNNNNNNNNNNNNNNNNNNNNNNNNNNNNNNNNNNNNNNNNNNNNNNNNNNNNNNNNNNNNNNNNNNNNNNNNNNNNNNNNNNNNNNNNNNNNNNNNNNNNNNNNNNNNNNNNNNNNNNNNNNNNNNNNNNNNNNNNNNNNNNNNNNNNNNNNNNNNNNNNNNNNNNNNNNNNNNNNNNNNNNNNNNNNNNNNNNNNNNNNNNNNNNNNNNNNNNNNNNNNNNNNNNNNNNNNNNNNNNNNNNNNNNNNNNNNNNNNNNNNNNNNNNNNNNNNNNNNNNNNNNNNNNNNNNNNNNNNNNNNNNNNNNNNNNNNNNNNNNNNNNNNNNNNNNNNNNNNNNNNNNNNNNNNNNNNNNNNNNNNNNNNNNNNNNNNNNNNNNNNNNNNNNNNNNNNNNNNNNNNNNNNNNNNNNNNNNNNNNNNNNNNNNNNNNNNNNNNNNNNNNNNNNNNNNNNNNNNNNNNNNNNNNNNNNNNNNNNNNNNNNNNNNNNNNNNNNNNNNNNNNNNNNNNNNNNNNNNNNNNNNNNNNNNNNNNNNNNNNNNNNNNNNNNNNNNNNNNNNNNNNNNNNNNNNNNNNNNNNNNNNNNNNNNNNNNNNNNNNNNNNNNNNNNNNNNNNNNNNNNNNNNNNNNNNNNNNNNNNNNNNNNNNNNNNNNNNNNNNNNNNNNNNNNNNNNNNNNNNNNNNNNNNNNNNNNNNNNNNNNNNNNNNNNNNNNNNNNNNNNNNNNNNNNNNNNNNNNNNNNNNNNNNNNNNNNNNNNNNNNNNNNNNNNNNNNNNNNNNNNNNNNNNNNNNNNNNNNNNNNNNNNNNNNNNNNNNNNNNNNNNNNNNNNNNNNNNNNNNNNNNNNNNNNNNNNNNNNNNNNNNNNNNNNNNNNNNNNNNNNNNNNNNNNNNNNNNNNNNNNNNNNNNNNNNNNNNNNNNNNNNNNNNNNNNNNNNNNNNNNNNNNNNNNNNNNNNNNNNNNNNNNNNNNNNNNNNNNNNNNNNNNNNNNNNNNNNNNNNNNNNNNNNNNNNNNNNNNNNNNNNNNNNNNNNNNNNNNNNNNNNNNNNNNNNNNNNNNNNNNNNNNNNNNNNNNNNNNNNNNNNNNNNNNNNNNNNNNNNNNNNNNNNNNNNNNNNNNNNNNNNNNNNNNNNNNNNNNNNNNNNNNNNNNNNNNNNNNNNNNNNNNNNNNNNNNNNNNNNNNNNNNNNNNNNNNNNNNNNNNNNNNNNNNNNNNNNNNNNNNNNNNNNNNNNNNNNNNNNNNNNNNNNNNNNNNNNNNNNNNNNNNNNNNNNNNNNNNNNNNNNNNNNNNNNNNNNNNNNNNNNNNNNNNNNNNNNNNNNNNNNNNNNNNNNNNNNNNNNNNNNNNNNNNNNNNNNNNNNNNNNNNNNNNNNNNNNNNNNNNNNNNNNNNNNNNNNNNNNNNNNNNNNNNNNNNNNNNNNNNNNNNNNNNNNNNNNNNNNNNNNNNNNNNNNNNNNNNNNNNNNNNNNNNNNNNNNNNNNNNNNNNNNNNNNNNNNNNNNNNNNNNNNNNNNNNNNNNNNNNNNNNNNNNNNNNNNNNNNNNNNNNNNNNNNNNNNNNNNNNNNNNNNNNNNNNNNNNNNNNNNNNNNNNNNNNNNNNNNNNNNNNNNNNNNNNNNNNNNNNNNNNNNNNNNNNNNNNNNNNNNNNNNNNNNNNNNNNNNNNNNNNNNNNNNNNNNNNNNNNNNNNNNNNNNNNNNNNNNNNNNNNNNNNNNNNNNNNNNNNNNNNNNNNNNNNNNNNNNNNNNNNNNNNNNNNNNNNNNNNNUCGUGUGCAUCUUCUUGCCAUGGCUUGGUCACUAUUGAUCUGCCCGAUUCCGCCUCCAGGGAUGGGGUAUCGAAUCUUCUGGUGCAGAGCAGAUGUGAUGGCCUCGAUCUUGCUGAUCCACGGUCGGCCCAGGAUUCCGUUGUACGGGGAGAUCUCGUCGAUGACCAUGAAGGUUUGCGAGCAGACUACUGGGGGUGAGUGGACGUCAAGGUCGAUCAGUCCAACAGUGAUUGAUGUGGCCCCAUUGAAGCCAGUGAGCGACCUUGCAAGCUUGCUAAUCUUGGGCUCCAAUCCCAUUUGUUGGAUGACAGAUAGUUGCAGGAUGUUGGCUGCGCUGCCCUCAUCCACAUGAACUCGCUCGAUCACAGCUUGUUCAAUCUGAAUGCAGAUGACUAGGGCGUCAUUAUGCGGCAGGUCAAGCCCGAUCAAUUCUUUCUUGUGGAAACCAAUGAUGGGUGUAUCCACGAUAACUGGUACUCCUGUUGUGACUUGGGAGACAUAAGUCGCCUGUGAGAUCUUCCUCUUGCGCUCCUUAGUGGUCAGCCCGGACUCUUGAGAGUCAGCUAGAAUUGUGUUGAUUCGAAUGACCUUUUGGGGAGGUUCCUUGGCAGCCGCAUCACGAUCCUCGAUCUGUUGGAUGGCCUUCUUUGCGACGAAUUCUGUGCAAUGACCUUCUCUGACUAGCUCCUCCAGAUGCCUUUUCCAAGCAUUGCAAUUGUUGGUGUAAUGACCGUGCUCCCCGUGGAAUGCGCAGUAUUUACUGGUGUCCCUCUUAGAGGGGUCUCCCUUCAUGGGUGGCGGUCUCCUCACCCACGGCUUGUCUUUCACUUGAGCCAGGAUCUGAUGAAUUGGGAUAGCGAACUCAGUGAAGGUCCCUGUUUCUGAGCUUCCCUCUCGGGGCCGCGAUCUGCGCUUAUCUCGGGCUUUUUGCUCGAACUGGUUGCUCUUUUGGCUUGCCUGCUUCGUCGGGUGAUCAACUUGCUUGCUGGCUUUCUUUGCGGCGAUUCGAUCAUCGUCCCAAAGUGCGUAGCGUUCUGCCGUCGCGAACACUUCUGCCAAGGUUUGACUUGGUGUUAUGGCCAGUUCCCGGUAUAGCUCGUGCUCGGUUGGCAAGCCCUUCUUGAAAGCUGAGGAUGCAACUUGGUCAUUGCAUCCUAUGAUGUUAGCCUUUUCAGCCUUAAACCGUCUCAGGUAGUCUCGUAGAGACUCGUCUGGCUUCUUGCGCAGGUUGAACAGAUGGUCUGCAUGCUUUCUGACCGUCUUGUAGGAGGUGUACUCCUUUGUGAAGAUGAAGGCCAACUCCUUGAAGUUUCCUAUCGACGCGGACGGUAGAGUGUGGAACCAGUCUUGAGCUGCUCCUCGCAGGGUCAUCGCGAACACUUUGCACAUCAGGGCAUCGUCUGCCUUGUACAGGAUCAUGGCGCUCUUGAAGUGCCUCAAAUGGCUCUCAGGGUCAGAGUCUCCCUUGAAUGGAGUGAUGGAUGGCGUUGUGAACCGCUUCGGUGGAGGAGCUCGUUCCACUUUGUCAGUAAAGGGCGAGCAGUCAACUCGAUCAAUUUCCUUGUGCAGGGCUUCUUCCGUGCUUCCUUUAAGUUGGAGAGCUUGGAGUCGGUCAUUCACUAGCUUCUCGACGUCCUCUGCUCGCAGGACUGGAGUCUCGGGCUGACGUCUUCGGCGUCUCGAGCGUGACCGGCUAACUUCUUCCUCGGUUCCCAAGGGUCGAUCCCCUUGGGUGUUCUGCCCGUGGGGUAGAUUAGGAGAUUGAGCUUGUGAGGAUUCCUCUACAUCUUGUCGCCUCGUGUUGGUCCUCGAGCAGGUUGGUGGGCGUCGAUCAUCAUCUUCUGCCUGCAAGGAGGGUCGCUCAGGUCGACGUCUUUGGUGUCUCGAGCGUGACUGGCUAACUCCUUCCUCGGUUCCCAAGGGUCGAUCCCCUUGGGUGCCCUGCCCAUGGGGCAGAUUAGGAGGUUGAGCUUGUGAGGAUUCUUCUACAACUUGCCACCGUGCGUUGGCCCUCGAACGGGUUGGUGGGCGUCGGUCGUUGCGCUCGUCACGCGACUGCUCACGAACUCGAGCUCCUUGUGGGCCCAAGCGGGCGUGGACAUUAGUCUGUGGGCCUAGUCUCUCGAGCACAUUGGUCCUUGGUUCUAGCCCCGAACGGCUCAGAGUACGGCUCGCGGCUGUCUGCGUCUCAUCUACUCGAUCUCUCCUCUGCCGGUUUGCCCUUGUCUGACCAGCUUGGGACCUCUCGAACUGCUCGCCGACAUGCUGGUGUGCCCUCAUCUCCUCAUCACGGGGUCCAAGGUUAGGGCCUUGAUUCAAGUUGAUCUGCCUGAGUAGCUGUCCAAUCAUGUUGUUCUGAUCAUCGACCUUCUGUGUGAGUUGAUCAACCCGUGAGUUAAGGUCCACCUGACUGCGCGGGUCAAGUAGAGCGUUGUGCAUCGGGCCAAACGGCAUAUGGGCUAGGGCUCCAUUAGACGCGUACACAGGUGCAUAAGUCAAGUGUGAUUGCAGAGGAGGGAGAGAAUGGAUCUGCUCCAAGACUGGGAUGGCGUCGGAGUAGCCACGGGGCUGAGCAGCAAAUCCGGUAGUUGAGUGGUGUGGCUGCUGCUGUGAUCCGACGGCAGGACAGCGAGGCAGAGCAGCUCCGGUAGUCGGCGCUGGCAACUGCAAGGCUGUGGAGGUCCCAGGGUCAUGCGGCGGCUGUUCUGCAAUUCCAGCAGCUGAAGGCGGCUGCAAUGCACUAAAGGACGACUGCAAGGCGUUGGCAGCCACGAUUCCGUGCGGUUGCAUUGAGGUUUCCACCACAAAACCAUGAGAUGGGCCCAUUGUGGUGGCGUUACUCUUCGUACGUCUUGUAUCAACCAUGGUUGUUUGAAAAAAUGUGUGAAAGAUGGAUUUGGAGCACGCUUUGAAUAUAUCUCGCGCUCUCAAUGAAAGCACCAAUUUGUUUGUGCAAAUAAUCUCACGGGAGAAUAUUCGCCAAAGAUUCCUUCGUCUUCUCUGCUUCUCUCUUUCUCCCUGCAAAACAGAUCGGAGUAAAAGGACCACACCCGGGGGGUGUUGGCCAAAGGCCCUCCGAUGCCUAAGUUAGGUAGGGUAUUUCAAGGAAAACCGGGUGGCCGGAGCCGUGUGUGGUGGCCGGAGCCUUAUGUGAGAGAGAGAAAGAGAGGAAGUGGCUAGGGUUCUUGAGAAAUAAUUUCUGCAGAGUUUUAGUAGGAAUUUAGACGUCCCCCCACCAUUGUGUGUGGCUAUGCUUUUAUAGUAGUCUCGGAGGCUAGGGUUUCAGAGGAAUAAUUCCGUAGAUGGAAGGGAAUUAUUCCUCCCCUUUUUGGAAUUGAUUUGAUUAAUUAGGGAUUUGAUUAAUUAGGGUAAAUCAAAUCCCUAAUUGUGGUAGGUAUCAAAUCAAAUCCCGACUUAAAUAGGUAACUCCUCCUUUAAUUGGAAAUUGGGGUAGGAAUAGAAUUAAUUCUCGACCCGAUUAGGUAAUAUUCUAUUUAAUUGGGUAAUCCCCAAUUAAAUUGAAUAAUUCCCAAUUAGGUCAAAUAAUCCCCAAAUGGAAGGAAUUAUUUGACCUAGGGUUUUGAUUUAAUUAGGUUCCCACAAUAUAUAUAUAUAUAUAAAAUAAAGUAUCACUCUUCUCUCUCUUCUUUCGGAACCUCCAAGAUUUGGCGAUCUGAGCGAGUUGAACAGUUCUGUUAAGAAAAACUUCUUCACUCCCAGAGACCGAUUUAUGAGCGAGUGAUGAAUCCAACAAGAAUUUGGAUGCUUCUUCCUUCUCAGAGGUCAAUUCAGUAGUAAGUGACAAAGAGGUCAAUUCAGUAGUGCGUGACAAAUCCAACGAGGAUUUGACACUCAUAGCCACUCAACGAUUUCAUGACCAGUCAAUUUCACAAUUACUUUGAUUUAUGGAUGGUAGACUGAAUGCUAUAAAUUAAGAGUAUAUUUAUAGAAUUGGGAUUUCCAAGGUUGGGUAUAUCAUAAUCAAACUAUUCUUUCUUUAUGGUUGCUUAGUGGGUGGUGAAAGGUUUAUAUUGUAAAAAAUAGUACUUGAACAAUUUCCCUUGUAGGAAAUUAGUUUUGAGUUAGUUGGUUCUGCUUCCAUCUUGUUUGAAUUGUUUAUUGUUUAUGGCAAUGGGAACAUUUUGAAAUUGGCCACAAAUGUUUUGAACAUUUUAGUUUUUUAAAUACGAAUUUUUGAACAAUUCUUUGUCUUUCUUGAAAACACAAGCAUAUGAAUGCCAUAAAACACAAAUAUCGAGCAGACUAAAGCAAAGUGCGCAACAAGCAAACCCACCCCAACCCCAAAGCCUUAGCUAGCCCUCUCACCACCCCUUUACCCAGAAAAAAAAAAAAAAAGAUUUUCCUCCCAAAUCGCCCUCUCAAAUUACAAAUAGGCAAAAAUUGAACAAUUGAUUGCUAAGGAGAACCUCAAUGAGGCCACACAAGCAUAGCUAUCAUGCAAGAAGUUCUUCAUUUCCUUUGAAAGAUGAUCUCACCUGCAUCUUCCAACUUGCUCAAAAAGGCAAGUGGGAGAUCAAAAGGGCAAGUGGGAGGAAGGUUUUGUUACACACACCAUUUUCUUUUGACUGAGAGAACAAGAUGGUGAUGGGUUAUUGAGAACAAAGAGAUCCAGCAAGAAGCAAAGAAAGUGAAGCUCAAGAUAGAGCAAGUUGAUGCUAGUAAGUACGCAAAUGGGGAGGAUGAAGAAAAGAAAAAAGAAAAGAGGAAAACACCAGAAAGAAAGAGAGAGAGAGAGAGAGAGAGGGUAGUUCGUAGGUUGUGUAGGCAUAGGGUAGUUCAUUCUGGGCUCUUAAAUCCAAAUGUAAGGAAUGAUAUUUUGAUAUAUAUAAAAAAGGCAUGUAAAAGGAGGAUGUUCUAAUGAAAUACAAAAUUUAUUUUGAUUAAUAAAAACACACAUAUCCAUAUAGGUGAUAAUGUGCAUUAUGCCCAUGUCUUUAUUCUUAUCUAUUUUAAGUUCACUUAUUUUUAAGUUCUUUUUAAUUUCUAUUUCAUAAGAGAAUGUGGACAGUUGCCACAAGAGAUAAUGGAGAAUAAUUACCUUGAGAGUGAUGGUUAUUACUCAAGGUUGUGAGAGAUAACUACCCGAGGUAAUGGGCGAUUACCAGAAUAUAUAAGGACGCAUAACUUCCAAGUUAAUGGGUGAGUUGGAGGUUACUCGUAAUUAGUAAGUAGUGGGAUAAAAUAAAAAGCGGUUACAACAAGGUGGCACUUCGAAAAUGUGUCAAGUAAGCCUAGUAGUUGGGGUUGUCAAACAAAUGUGAGAAAAAAGUGCCUAGCAUAUAGGGAUGUUAUCCACAAUACCUCUAUAAAUAGAGUAGGAGGGUUGAGAAAUAAAUAAAAGUUGGGAGAGUGAGUUUCCCAUACUUUUUGAGUGCGUAUAGAUUAGUUGCACCAUGUAGUCACAUGAGGGAAUGGGAGGAAGGCAAGGAGAUUGAUUAAGUAAGUUAAAAGUGGACACGCACGUGCUAAUAUUGGUGUUAUUUCAAAUGGGAGAAAUAAGUUGGAAGCUAACCAACUACUUCUCGAAUAAGGACUCGACUAGUGUAAUAAACUUGAAAUUUAGGUUGAUCUACCUCCGUUAUUAGGUUUGGAAUGUAGAGGUGGUUUCCCCAUAUUGGCUUUUAGGUUCGCAAAUAGUUCUUCACACUUAUUCAUCUACACGAUAUUUGUCUUCCUUCCUUUUUAAUCCUUAAGGAAAAGGAGGCACUUGUUUAUUGCUCAUGCGAUGAACCUAUUCAAUGCAUGUACUCGCCCUGUUAAUCUCUACAUUUUCUUCAUAAUUCGUCGUGGUUUCAAUUCUAGCAAAGAUUGAAUUUUUUAAGGAUUUGUUUCGACCUCUUGCUCAAGGUUUAUGACAUUAUUGACAUAUUUGUGUGAUUUUUACGUAUCCGGCCUCCUUAGUGCAACCAAGAACUUUGCACUCAUGGUUGGUGCAGAAGUUGGGCAAAAAAUGGUACCUAGGGCAACAACUCAAAAAACCUGAAUUUAUUGUCUAUUGUUUUGGACCUCUUUCUUGUGUGUGUGUGUGUGUGUGUUUUUUUUUUUUUUUUUACUACAAGCAAUAAUUUAUUUUAAAUUAAUCUAAACUACGGGGAAUGGAUUCGAACUUGGGUGCAGAGUGGGGAGCACAUUCUCUCUAACCAACACGGCUAAGUCCAUGUCUAAGUUUUUUUUUGUUUUUUUUGGUUUUUGUGUGUGUGACAAACAUUAGGAUAUUUCGAAACUAUAUUUACAACGCGCCAACAAACUCACAACUAAGUUUUACCACCAAAAUAGCGCUAAACACAAAUAGAUAUCAAACUCAUCACACACACACACAUAUAUUAUCAUCGUCAUCCAUGUGAGUUAAAUCUAAGACUUCCUCUAACCAAGUGAAAACAAAUACUACUAGACCUAAUGCUAGUUGAUUAGUUUAGGACUAUUCGAGGUUCUCAAUAAUUCCAUUGAUCAAAAUUUUUUCCCUUCCACAAUGCCUUCAUUUGAUUUUCUUUUCUUCGACCAAUGAGUUCAACAUGUUGUCCUCGGUUUGGAACUCCCAUUAUGCACUCAAUGUCGUAGGAACUUAAUUCUAGCACAUAGUCAUUCUUCCAUUGAAGAAUUUUUAGGAUCAAGGUUAUCAAUAAGAAAGCAAUGCGAUUUUUCGAAGAGUAAUACCUAAGCCAUUUUAUGUGAUUUUUUUCUUUUAGGAAUGUUGAUGCCCAAAAAUGGGUGACCACUUAUGGACCCAACUUAGAGAUGCAAUGCCUUUGAUCUUGUGGGUUCUUCGACAGACGUGGAUGAUCUGCAAAAAAAAGUAAGGGCUAAGUACGGAGUGAAUAGUAGUUUGGACGAAGUAAGGGCUAAGUAGCCGAAUGUUACUGUUACCUCACUUUUGGGGACUUUUGCCCCUAUUUAUAGACCUUUAGGGGUGACCACUUCAAGAUGUGUUUUGAUGUGAGACUGUGGACAUUGCUUGAGAGGCUACCACAUGUAUAUGUAAGAGGUUGCAUGUGAGGCGCAUUCUUUAGCCGAAUCAGCAUGAUAGGUUGCUAAAGGCUCACCUGCUGACGAUGGUUGUUUAUGGGGCCUCAUUGUUUUUACUAGGCUCUGUGGGCUCCCUUCGUGUAUCCUAUGUUCCACGUGUCACAGAAUGAUUGGCUAGUCAGAUAUGGUAUAAACAAGAGUCUCCCCAAGUUCUCAAUUGAGAAGAGACUUCUUGGUUGGGGACAUGCAUUUGUCUUCAGCAUUCUGACCAGGCGUGAUUUCACAAAGAUGAUGAGCAUGUCCUUUGUUUUCUUGUCGAUGGCAAUUCCCUAGUCCCCCCAAGUCUCUGAUCAAUGAAUUUCUUCGAGAAAGGGUGCUUGGAGCACAGGUGCCGAAUGGUAGGGUGUCUAUUAAUGUAUCAAGGAACCAUGGGUAGAACCUUGCCGAACGGUAAAGCGGGGGUACCAUUCGAUGAUCACAUGAGUAUGCAUUAUGUUGGCUCGUGAAAUGCUCAUUGUUGUUUGAUAUAGUUGUAUACAUGCCAAUCGUGAUGCACUUGUCUUUUUUGGGGAGAGUUGCUCUGAGGAGAGUGGCAUAACAUGUGGCUUCGUCUUCUGUGCGUGCAUGGGUGAACCUUUAAAUGCGAAUGGUGGUCCAUAUAUCAAAGCCUAGGCCACACUUGGGUGCAAUAAUGAUGGCGCAUGUUAGUUAACCUAGGCAAUCCUCACAAGCUUUCCGUAUAGAAGGGAAUGGUUCGCGUUUGAGAAAUCAUUUAGUGUUAAGAAAGCAAAAUUUGAGAUUUGUGUUAGGUGAUUUCCAACGAACGAUUCCUCUUGUGAAAGCGAUUUACGGUGGAGUACAGGGCAAUGCAAUUUCCAGUGACUCUCUGAGCCAUGUGAAACAUGGUAUGCAUCUUUUUUCCUUGCCUUCUCGGAUUAAAUGCCUUGUAUGGUUCGAAUUUUAAGUAUAAACAUGUAUUAUCCUUAGGAAAACAAGGUAGGAUAAGAGGAUAUGCGUCAGAAGCCGUAGGAAACCUUAGUUUGAUUCAAGCAUGGAAUUUAGUUUCCCUUUAUUUUUGUUUGCAGAUGUCAUAGAGAGAAUCAGAAUAUGAGAAGUCCUCUAACGUUCGAUGGGGAAUCAUCGGACGAUGAGCAGGCUACCAAGAAUGAGGAUACCGAUUAUGAUAAAAACGAUAAUGAAGGUGCUGAUCUUAAGAUUAUGUAUGAGGAUCAUCCUAGAAACCUGCUGAAGAGGGUAAGACAAACUCUUUAUAUAUCGAAGGAGUUGGGCUCUUGGAUAUUAACCUUUUCUCUGGUGGGGUCACCAACGCUUGCCAGUAUUGUGAGUUUAUACAUGCAAGUUACCAAUCAGAGGCUUCUACUUUCGAUCGUGAUGAUGUGGCUUACGAAUCAUCAUUGGUGCUGAUUAAGGUUGCAAGCUGUAACCGGAGAAUACCUCAAGGGCCUUUGUUCGGUAUGGACUAUUUGGAUCUGAGCAAGAUGACGACACGAGAGUUGACAAAACUUCGUGCAGACUAUCGGGUUCCAGAUUCGGUAAUAUGCGGAUUCCUAAGGAGAUGGAAUCGCUGAGCAAUCCAUCAAACAGUAAGGCUGUAUUUUUUACCGAUGUCUUCAAGAAUGGCUUCAAUUGCCGUUGAAGUCUUCUAUUCAAAGGAUUUUGGAGCAGUUUAAUCUAAAUUUUUGGAUUGCUCGUUUGGGAACCAUAACUGCCUUCAUCCAUGCUGAAGAAGGGGAGCCCACCUAUGAGGAGUUUUUGCACCUUUACAAUGUGACGAGGGUGAAGAGAAAAUGCCAUGAGGCUGGGUGCAGGCUAAUUGUCGGUAGGCGAAGGCCCGAGGACAUUUUGUGAGGGGAGUACCGACCUCCCAAAAGUCGUGGAGGAAUCGGCUUGCUCCAUGCAUUGGGAGUUUGAAACUAAUAAGCCAGUUCAGUUUCACAUCCCCAUAACCUUCCAAAUAGUCAGUAGGUGCUAGGUGUCGUUCGAUAGUGUGGGAGUUAUGCUGGUGUGUGUGUGUGUGUGUGUGUGUGUGUGUGUGUGUGUGUGUGUGUGUGUGUGUGUGUUUGUUGAAUGCAUAUUUAUGUUUCCCACAUAUAGCACCAAACUGUUGAUGCCCAAAACUAGUUAACCACUUAUGGACCCAACUUAUAGAUGUGAUGCCUUUGGCCUUGUGGGCCCUUCCGCAAACGUGGAUGAUAUGCAAGGCAAAGAGCAACGGUAAAACCUUGCGUGCUAGUGUAGUACCGGCCAAAGGCUCUACGAUGCUUAAAUUAGCUUAAGGAUAGAGUGAAUAGUAAUUUAGACAGAGUAAGGGCUAAGUAGUGGAAUGCUAUUGUUACCUCCCUUUUGGGGACUUGUGCCCCUAUUUAUAGACCUUUGAGGGUGAGCUCUUCGAGUUGUGUUUCGAUGUGGGAUUGUGGACAUUGCCUGAGAGGCUACGACGUGUCUAUGUAAGAGAAAGCCUGUGAGGCGCCUUCUGUAACCAGAUUGAAGGAUAGGUUGUCGAAGGCUCACCUACUUCCGAUGGUUUUUUAUGGGCCUCAAUGUUUUUACUAGGCUCUGUGGGCUCCUUUCAUGGAUCCCAUGUUUCACGUGUUGUGAAAUGAUUGGCUGGUCAAAUAUAGUAUAAACAAGGAAAACUUUUAGGAAAAUUGUGGAAUAGGUCUAGAGUGCAUGAGUCGUUAUUCCAUGUGGAUUUGUCACUUCUUCAGCCACUUACGACUCGUUGGAUUUCAAUAGAGGACGCAAUGCCAACUUCUCCUUGGGAUCAAGUUUUUUUCUUUUUUAAAAAAAUUUGCGAGCAAUCUCCCUUUUCCUUUUGAAAAAUGGUGAAAUUAUUCACAAUAUAUGAUUAUGUUAAUGUAUUCAAUGAAAUGUAGUAUAUAACUUAACCUCCUUAUUCGAAUUCGAGCCUAAAAUCACUAGCCUCCUUAUUCGAGUCCGAGCCUAAGACCACUAGUCUGCAAAUCAAGUACUUUUUCUACUGGACUAAAACCCUAUUGGCAACCUUUAUUUUGAUUUAAUACCCUUAUUGAACCCCCUCAAAACUUCAAAACAUGUACUGGGCUAAGACCCUGUUGGCAACCUUUUAUUUUGAUUUAAUACCCUCAUUGAACCCCUCAAAACUUGAAAAUAUGCAAAACUUAUCUCCGUAGCUCCAUGGAUGUGUAGAGGCCAAGAGAGCGGACUGAUCUAGGCGUUUAAAGGAGAUUGUAUGAAGGCAAUAGAAAACGUUGAGACGUCAAGCUUUUGCCACAUGACUCACCUGAGUUGGAUAAGAAUCUAAUAUUAAUACUUAUAUUAAUACUUAAACCAUAAUCCCAAAUGACAAUCCGAGUCCAGGAACUACGACAGGACAUUAAUAUGCAAGUAUAAGUACAAUUGCAUAAUAUCUUGUAUAGAAACAAAAGAAAAUCGGCACGUACAACCGGCACUUAUUACAUUGGAGCUACAGGUCACAUUACAUGUGAAAUUUAGUAUAACACUUUCAAAGGAUAAACAAUUUAACAUGUGAUUCAUCCUCCCAUAUUGUCCUUUUACUAUGUCUUCUUGCCCACUGCUGGGAACUCAAACAUCUGACUUGGCAUAACCCUCAAAUGCUUGGCCUCACAUUGAGACGGGAUGCGAGCUUUUGACCCAGAGAUUUAUCUGCCUGCAUUGCCAAUACAAAGAAUAACACAUCAGAAAAACAUGGCUGCUUUAUUCUAAUACUAACCCUUCAUAUUCCAGUAUAACAUUAUAAAGUUACUUAACUGUACAAAUUCACAAAUGCAAUAAAUUAUAAAUAGACUCACCUGAGACCAGUAUGAGAUCCAAACGCUGCGAAUCUCAUGGGUGACACGUGGGUCUGAUAGGGCAUCCACCCAUCGGUGGAUGAAUCGCUCUUGCCUGCAUGAAGAUACACGAUUAAGAACAAAUAUGAUGUUUUUUUUCAGGGCAGACAACUAUGAUGUUUGAAUACAAUUAUUUUCAUAUAGAGACAUCAUAGGGUUGCCAGGUACCUGUCUGGCGCCCAAGAUCUGUAUCUCUCUCCAGGUUGCUUAAAGUUGUUCUCCUUCUCAAUGAUGCACUGAAAAACCAAAAAAACCAACAUACUCAAAAUAUACAAAAAGUUGCCAUAGGAAUUAUUAUGUGCAGCAACCUAGGAAAAUCCAGAAAUGCAAUCGGUACAUAUGUAUAUACCUACACUAGUGUAUGUGCCCGGGUGACUAAAAAAAGGGAGAGCUGGAAGAAAAGAUAAUGUACAGAAGAGAUGGGGAAACUAAGGUAUAUUCAAAGCAAUAUUCCGCAAUUGAUAGAAACUGACCUUCUCACGCUUUCCAGAAAGGAUAUUAGGAGGAAUGGGGAAGCGCUCAGCAUGACGAACAGGAUCAUACCUUGAAGGGAAGUAAUUAACCUGAAGAUUAUAGCAACUCAUCAGAGAAAACUAAAAUGAAUAAACAAGCAUACAAUUGGAGUUGUCCUCCCAGAAUAUUGAGCAAUCUAAGUAUACAAGGGCCAAAGGGAUUCCAUAUGAGACAUAACAAUUGAGUAAAAUAAUAAUACCUCCUCAUCCCUGUGCAUGAAAUUCAUGAAUCCCUCAUGAUGAUUGUUAUGAUGAGAACACUUGGGAGCAUUCACUGGGAGCUGCAGAUAGUUCGGGCCAAGACGGUGCCUCUGAGUAUCAGAAUAGGAGAAGAUUCGAGUUUGGAGCAACUUAUCAUCUGAAUAGUAGACACCAGGGACAACAAUGGCAGGGCAAAAUGCAAGUUGUUCAUUCUCUGCAAAGAAGUUAUCAAUGUUUUUAUUCAGAACCAGACGGCCAACUGGCUGCAGAGGAAGAAUAUCUUCAGGCCAGGUCUUAGUUACAUCAAGUGGAUCAAAGUCAAAUCUGUCCUCAUGAUUGGGAUCAAUUGUCUGAAUAUAAAGUUUCCACUCAGGGUAGUUGCCAGCUGCAAUGGAAUCAUAGAGAUCCUUGGUAGCAUGGCUGUGAUUAGCUCCUCCAACCUUAAUAGCUUCAUCCUCCAACAAACACUUGACUCCACACGUAGGUUUCCAAUGAAAUUUCACAUACUGUACUUUCCCCGCCUUAUUGAUAAGGGUAUAGGUGUUAACACCAGAGCCUUCCAUGUGCCUGUAAUCUUGUGGAACUCCCAGAUCAUCAAAUAGGAAGGUGAACAUGUGCAGGCUUUCUGGGUGGUGGGAGAAGAAGUCAAGGAUCCUCCAAGGCUCUUGAAUGUGCGACUUGGGGUUCGGUUUGAGAGCAUGGACCAUGUCCGGGAAUUUCAUUCCGUCACGAACAAAAAAGACAGGGAAAUUGUUUCCAACCAGGUCAAAAUUACCCUGUGUUUAAGAACAAAGUCGCCACAUGAGUACUAACAACACAGCAAAAUAAACCUGAAUAAAGUUGUAUAUAGUGAAUAAUAAUGUUACCAAGAAAUCAACCAUCUGUAUAAGCAUCUAGAUUACAGAUGGUAUGCUACAUGAGCAAUCUUUUACAGCCAGGUGACUACCCCCAUUAGUAAACGAAAAUGAAAAGGCAAAGAAAAGAAAGGAAUGAAUGCAAUCUUUCAUCAAAGUCACAAGACUGCAUAAUUUCCAACAACUAUAAUUAGUCAAAUAUGAAUUGAGUACUUCAUAUUUUGUCACCACAGCCACCUCAGCUGCCACUACAGACACCAAUACAUAUCCACUAAAUAUGCCUAUGCUAUUGAAAAUAAAAAUAAAAUUAACACAUUGAUAAUAUAAAGGUAAAAACCUCACCUCUCUGGUGUAAAACUUCACUGCAAAACCACGAGGAUCCCUCAGGGUUUCAGGGCUGCCACGCUCAUGGAUAACAGUGGAGAAACGCACAAUGACAGGUGUCUGAACACCGGGGGCUCGAAGGAAGUCAGCACAUGUAAGCUGAGAAAUAUCAUGAGUGACCUCGAAGAAUCCCUUCGCACUGGCUCCCCUAGCAUGGACAACACGCUCUGGGAUUCGUUCUCUAUCAAAGUUGGCAAGUUUCUCCACCAGAUGAUAGUCCUCAAGGAGAAUUGGGCCUGACAAAUAGACACAGAAAUUUAAUUCGGAACUGCACCGACUCAACUCACCAUAUUUAAGCAUCUAGAUUACAUGCAAAUAUAGGAUAAAAAUGAAAUUAGUUGUUAUACAUUCCAGAACAUCAAAUAAAGAUGAUUGCUGCUCAGUUGCAAAUAUUCGUAAUUUUUAUUUACAUUUAGAAGGUAGGUUUUCAGACAACCAGAUGAUCAAAAAACCCAUCUUGACAAACCAAAAGGAGGCUGGAGGAAUUAAAAGAGAACCAACAGUGCGGGAGAAUCAUUUUUCAACUAAAGUAAGCAUAAAAUUUUAAAAUAAAUGUCAAUAGGAAAAGGAUCAGCUUCAAAUACAAGAUAUAUAAGUAUAUAUACAUAUCUUAAAUCCCACAAGCGUUUCCAAAGAUUAAUCAUCCUCAACAUGGUAGUGGUGGGAAUAACAUCCAAAAAGCAGUUUACAGCUCAUAAUCACAUGAAUAUCAAAAUCUUGUUCAGAAAAGUUGAGAAAACCAUCACAAAAAUUCAAAACCCAGGUAAGCGAAGAACCAAUGAUAACAAAGAUGAAUAUAUACACACAAAUAGUGAAUAGCAUCAUAAGAUAGAUUGAACAUGAAGCGCAACUAAAAAAACAAUAAAAUAUAAAAUAUAAACUGUGUUGCAAUUGAAAAGCCAGCAUCAAUCAACGAAGAGUUGUGAUGAAUUACCUCUAGAUCCAACAGUCAAAGAAGAGUUGUUGUUCCAAACAGGAGCACCGGAGUUUGUGGUCCAGAAUGGGGAAUCAAAAGCACUUGAAGGGCGGUACUGCAACAUACACAACGAAAACGAAACAAGACCAUGAUGAGCUAAAAGAACAACAAACACAAAAUUUCGAGCUACGCUUAAAUGACCAAUCUGAUUGAUCAAGAAGAUUAAUUCAUCAAGAAAUCAAACUUAAACAAAUCAAGAGAUAUUAUAACAGGGAAAUGAGUACCUUGUAAGGAUCCAUGGAGAAAGAGGGGGAAGGAGGAGUUUGAUAAGAAGGUGAGAGAGCAGAGCAAAGCCACCCAAAGGGAGGGUCGUGUGGCAAAUGAGAAUCGAAGAGCGAAAUGUGAAAUUGGGGAAUUUAUAAACACUUGCGGGUCGUGGGCGUGGCUCGCGCUUCUGCGCAAAUUACCAAUCUCAGCAGGUUAUCUUUAUCCACACACAGAGUGGGAGGUCAAGAGAAGAGAAGACAUAUCUUUGCCAAUUUAGCGUCGCGAGUCAGAACGAUUCUCGCCAAACCUGUCAACGAAGCAUUCUUGUAUGCACAAUUGUGGCAAAACGUCCUUCACUCACUUCAAAUCUUUUACAACCAAUUUUAUGAGGAGGGAUUUUUUUACAAAAAAAAUAAAAAAUUAUACAAUUUUAUGAGGAGAUGGUAUGCAACAAAAAAACAGAGGGGAUUCAGAUUUUUUUUUUUUAAUGGAAAUUAUUGUCCAAAAACAAAAGAAACAUUGAAGAAAUUGAGAGUUCAAUUUAAAAGUAAAAGAGAUCAUUAAAAUGAGUAAAAGAGACUAGAAACACCAUAAUUGACUGUGUAAUUAUAAAAUAUAUGGAGUCGUUUUUUUAUUUUUCAAAUUUUGUGAACAUAUUAUCCCUAAAUAAUGAACACAAAAAUUGAUUUAAAUAUAAUGUUGGUGUUGAUUGCAAUUAAUAAUAGCUAACUAUAGAGAUUUGAUUGAAACAAUUAAAACAUUUCACCACGACAACAAGGUCAAGAAUGCAAGUUGUUUAUUAUUAUGAAUUGGUUUCAAGACGAACAAUUUAACAACAAAUUCCAAACCUCUAUAUUUAGGAUUCAUGCAUUUAUCUACAUUUUAUGAAACUAAGUUGCUCAAAUAAUCUAACCAUUUAACAUGACACAUCAUCAAUUUUUAACCUAAGAUUUUUUUAAAAAAAAAUUGAAGUUAAUUUUAAAGUUAACGUGCUUGAGGGGUUUUUUUUUUCAUCAUGCUUCCUCCUUGAGAAAACUGUGAAUAAAAUUAAUUAAUUGCUACUUAUCUUCAGCUUAUAUAUUGAACCCUAAAGCAUAAAGCGAACUUCAAAACUUUAAUUUUUUGGCCACACAAACUUGAGCAAAGUAUGUCUUAUCUUUUUCACAAGAUUAUUCACUCUCAUUCUAAAUUCAUCGUGAUAUGUUAAGAAAUAACAAGUUUCACGAUGAACUAAAAAAGAACUCUCAAGCACGUUAACAUUAACGUUAGCAUAAGUUUUUGGAAAGAACGAAAAAGACCUUAAUUUAAAGAUUGAUGAUAUGUCAUAUGAAUGGUUAAAUUAUUUAGUUUAAAUUUUACGAAAUAUAAAUAAAUACACGGAUUCUAAAUAUAGAAAUUUGAUAUUCAUUUGCCAUAAAUAUCACUUUAAGAGUGAAAAUCCAGAAUACUAAACUAAAAUUAUAUUUCUUCACAAAAAUUGCAUCUAAAGAUGAGGAUAAAUUGAUGUUCAUCCGGACAUUGAAAAAGCACAAUAUAUCGUGAAGAUAUUCGAUAUAUUGAAAACCUCGCCGAUAUUCAUGUAGGAAGGCUAAACGAUUUUUUUAUGGCAAAAACUUCAACAACAACAACAAAAAAAGAGGCCUGGAAAAUUAUUAUUAUCAUAAUCGUGGUGGGAAUUCAAAAUUGAAAAUAAUUGAGAACGUCAUGCAUUCAUCGUUCGUUAUCCAGGUCUUGGAGCUUUGCUAACACCUAGGCGCAACCACUUAAGGCAGUGGCGGGUAUGGGUGACGUGGUCCACUCACAAGACGCCACGACCACCAAAGUGUACCUUGAAACGCGUGCUCUUAGAAAAUAGCACAGAGAUUCUCUCUCUCAGGGGAUAUGCUUGAAAUUUAUGAACAAAACAGAAGGAAAAAUAAAAACAAACAAGAGGCUAUUUUUGGUGUUGUCUGUGUGAAAGCCGCCAAAACAGCAAAUAUGCUGAUAAGGUUAGAAUGGGCCGAGCUCAGAUUAGCCACAAAGACUGUUCCUCUCUGGGCCCACUUAUCAAUAUUUUAACAUUUUUUUUAAUGGAGCUCGACAAUGAACAAAUUUUGAAGGUAAUUACUUGAUGUUAGUUAGAGAACCUCUAUGUCUAAGGGAACUACGAGUUCAAGGAAGCUUUGAGGUAUGCUCAUGUGACCCUACUUCUUGUUCUUUAUGCAUAAACAUAUUCAAGUUGCAUGUUCAAGGCUUGCCAUCUAAUCAUUAUAUAAUAUUUUGAUCAUCUAUUAUAAAAAUAUAAAAAAAACUAUGUAACUGGGCCUUGGUGCAAUAAGAACUUAAGCAUUAGCUUCAUGUAUGUAGGAAAAGUAGCAAAUAAUUUCAAUUGUAAAAUGAAUGCUUUGGUUUCUUUUCUUGUUAAUGCCGUUUGACUGGUUGUUUUGUCUUAGUGGUUCUUUGACCUCUCUUUGGUCUUUUUAUUGAAAGUUAUGUUGAGAAACUGAAAUUAACUUAAACGUAAAAGGAUUUUUUGAGUAAACAUAUUUCACAGCAUAAGAAUACUGCAGUUUUCCUCUCUUAUAUAUAUCUGAAAAACAAAGCUUACAAAAUAACAAUCUCCACAAUAACCACUAACACACAAGUGCAGAUUUUGUGGAGUUCAACUACCUUAAGCAACGGAAGCAAAUUUGAACGUGGUGAACAGACUAAACCACAACUUCUACAUUCUAGGACUUCAGCUUGACUUGGUCUCUACAUGGCCAUGUCAGCAUUAUUUAAUUAAAAAACUAAUUAAACUUAACUAAAUAACUUUUAACACCCUCCCUUAAACUGAUUUUUACGAAAAACAGUUUAGGAUCUCUACACCAUCACAUAAUCAUCUUCCUGUUCAAUGCUUUGAAAUGAACAAACUCCCAACAUGCUUCUCAGCUUCUCAAGCGCAGGUACCAUCACAUAAUCAUCUUCCUGUUCAAUGCUUUGAAAUGAACAAACUCCCAACAUGCUUCUCAGCUUCUCAAACGCAGGUUGCUUCAAAGGCUUAGUUAAGAUGUCUGCAACCUGCUCCCCACUCUUGCAAUAUUCAAGUACAAUCUUCCCAUCACUGCACAGGUCACGCAAAAAAUGAAAACGUACAUCAAUGUGUUUACUUCUCCCAUGCAUGACUGGAUUCCUCGAUAGCUUUAUAGUUGACAUGUUGUCGCAGUAGAUGGUUGUUGGUCCCUUUUGAACAUCACCAAGCACUUCAAAUAUUUUCCUAAGCGACAUAGCUUGACAGGAGCUUGCAGCUGCUGCUACAUAUUCAGCUUCUGUUGAGGAAAGUGUCACAAUUUGUUGCUUCUUUGAGGACCACGAUAUUGCACCAGAGUUGAGCAGAAAUGUGUGACCGGAAGUGCUCUUACGAUCAUCUAUAUCACCUGCAUAGUCACUAUCUGUGUACCCAACAAAACCAGAACCAUCUUCCCUUUUAUAAAACACACCAUAAUCAAUUGUCCCCUUUACAUACCUGAGAAUUCUCUUUGCUGCAUUGAGAUGCAUUUCAGUUGGUUUUUCCAUAUAUCGGCUCACAAGACUCACUGCAUACAUGAUGUCAGGCCUCGUGUAUGUUAAAUACAUGAGACUCCCAAUUAUCUGUUUAUAGAAAGUGCUGUCAACCUCCUUUCCACCUUUGUCUUUGCAUAGCUUUAAGCCAUGUUCAGCUGGAGUUCCAAAUGGCUUGCAGUCAUCCAUCUGAAACCUGUUAAGAAUGUCCUGUGCAUAUUUUUUCUGGUAGAUGAAAUUACCAGCAGUAGUUUGAAUGACUUCCAAUCCAAGAAAAUAGUGCAUUAAUCCUAGAUCAGUCAUUUCAAACUCCAUCAUCAUAGACUUCUUGAAUUCAUCAAACAUUUUAGCAUCACUUCCAGUGAAUAUCAAGUCAUCAACAUACAAGCAUACCAUGAGUAUUUUACCUUCUUCCUCAGUCUUGACAUAAAGUGUGUGCUCAAAAGGACAUUUGUGAAAUCCAAGCUUAGCAAAGUGAGCAUCUAUGCGACUGUACCAAGCUCGAGGUGCUUGUUUCAGUCCAUAGAGUGUUUUCUUCAGUUUGAACACCUUCUCUUCUUCUCCUUUUCUCUCAUAACCAGGUGGUUGAUCAAUGUACACCUCCUCUUGCAGGUUUCCAUGCAGGAAUGCUGACUUCACGUCUAACUGAAAAAUUUGCCAGGAAUUUUGAGCUGCAAGAGAGAUCACUAACCUAAUCGUGUCGUGCCUCGCAACUGGGGCAAACACCUCUUUGUAAUCAAUGCCAUGCUUCUGCUUGUAGCCCUUAGCUACCAAACGAGCUUUGUGCUUGUCAACCUCACCUUUUUCGUUCAACUUUGUUCUAAACACCCAUUUAACACCAAUGGUUUGCUUUCCCUUUGGAAGAUCAGUUAACUCCCAGGUUUGAUUCUUCUCAAUGGACUUGAUUUCAUUGUCCAUUGCUUCCCUCCAUUUCUCCUCUUUAACAGCCUCAGUAUAUGUGAUUGGAUCACUAUCUACAAGUAAUGCAAAGUGAGCAUUUUCAUCAUCAGAACUUGAAUAACUUACAUCGUAGUCCAUCAUCCAUGCUGGCCUCUUCCUUGAGUUCUCAUCUCUCAAAUUGUAUCUCUCUUCUUCAAACUGUUGAGAUGACUGAACUUCAAGUUGAGGUGGCUGCUGGGCUUGAGUUUCAGGAGCUGCUACCUCUUCAUUGUCUAAAUCAUCAUAAACUGGAAUUUGUUGUUGAACCGAUCUGUUCUCAGACCAAUUCCACAUAGUGUCUUCAUCAAAUAUCACAUCCCUGCUUACCACUAUCUUCUUUGUAACUGGAUUGUACAGUUUGUAUGCUUUUGAGACUUCACUUACACCAAGAAAAACACAUUUUUCACUUUUGUCAUCCAACUUCUUUCUUUUCUCAUCGGGGAUGUGUGCAUAUGCUAUGCACCCAAACACCCUAAAGUGAUCAACCGCAGGCUUCAAUCCACUCCAAGCUUCUUGAGGAGUCAUAUUCUUAACAGAAAAUGUGGGACUUCUGUUUAAAAUAUGAACUGACCAUAGCACAGCUUCAGGCCAAAACUUCUUGGGAAUUCUUCCUUUGACUAGCAGACUUCGAACCAUGUUGAGAAUGGUGCGAUUUUUCCUCUCACUUACACCAUUUUGUUGUGGUGUAUAGGCAGUGGUCAACUGUCUCUUGAUGCCUUUCUCUUUGCAAAAUGCAUCAAAUUCCUUCGAACAGUACUCUCCCCCACGGUCAGUUCUUAGAGUUUUAAUCUUCUUUUCUGAUUCAUUUUCAACUAGAGCUUUGAAGCUUUUGAAUGCUUCAAAUGCCUCUGAUUUUUCCUGCAAGAAAUAUACCCAUGUCUUUCUACUAAAAUCAUCAGUAAAGGAGAUGAAAUAUUUCUUGUUACCAUUUGAGAUGGGAUUUAUUGGUCCACAUAGAUCAGAGUGAACCAUCUCCAGGAUUUAUUGAGCCCUUGCUGCCUUGCCACUUGGAAAAGAGUCUCUUUUGUGCUUCCCAGUGAUGCAUUCUUCACACAUCUUUGAUGGAGGAGUUAUAUCAGGUAAGCCAGUGACCAUCCCUUUCUGGUGAAGUGUUCUCAAGCCAUUAAAAUUCAAAUGGCCAUAUCUGUAGUGCCAUCUCCACGGGUCAUCUUCUUUGGCAAAUAAGCAAGCCUGCAGAGUCUUGAUUUUCAAAGGAAACAAUCUGUUGGAAGACAUUUUCACAACAGCAAUGGACCCUCUUUUUGGGUCGUACACUUCCCACUCUCCUUUAUAGAUUGUAAUCCUAUAGCCUUUAUCUUGUAACUGACCAGCACUCAGCAAAUUUGUCUUCAAAUCAGGAAUAUAAAAAACAUUUGAGAUAGUUUCAAUAAAGUCAUUUUUAGUUUUGAUUUGAAUAUCUCCCUUACCCAUCACUUUCACUGUUGACUUGUCACCAAAACUCACUACCGUGUGAAAGCUUUCAUCCAAAUUAAUAAAGGAAGACUUACAUCCACUCAUGUGAUUGCUGCAGCCUGUGUCCACAUACCAUGUCUCCUGAUCAGUUUUUGUCAGUGCAUGAAAAGCCAUCAAAAGUGUCUCUUCCUCCUUCUUUUUCUCCACAAAAUUUGACUUUUCUCCUUUUUCUUUUGGUAACUUCGUGUAGCACUCAUUCUUGUAGUGCCCAAAAUUUCCACAUCUAUAACACUCCACUUUUGACUUAUCAAAGUGGUACGUUCCUUUUUCUUCAAAGUCAUCAUCUCUUUUGAAAACAUGAGAUGACUUGCUGUCAUCUCUAUGUCCAGACCGUCCACCUCCUCGAUGACCUCGACCACCUCUUCCUCUAUCACGUCCACCUCUUCCACGACCUCUUCCUCCUCGAGAACUUGAGGACUCAGAAACAAUGGAAGCUUUCAGAGCUGUUUGUUCUUCACUGGCAGUGGUGCGGUUAAGUCUUUGUUCAUGCACUAACAAAGAGCUUUGUAGUUCAUCAACUCGUAACUCAGCAACGUUCUUUGCCUCUUCAAUUGAACAGACAAUGUAGUCAAAUUUUGGAGUCAAUGAUCUCAUAAUUUUCUCCACAACUUUGACUUCUUCCAUGGUGCCACCAUUGGAUCUCAUCUUGCUUGCUAUUCCCAGAGUUCUAGCAAAGAAAUCAGUGAUGGACUCUCCUGAUUUCAUUUGUAAAGUUUCGAAGUCCCUUGUUAGAGUUUGAAGCACUGCACGCUUCACCCUCUCUGACCCUGCAUAUUUCUUCUUCAAAGAAUCCCAUAUUUGUUUGGAGGUCUCCUUCUCGAGUAUCGUCUCCAAGAUAGAUCGAUCAAGUGCCUGAAAAAGGUAAUUUUUCACCCUCAAGUCCUUCAGCUUCUGUUCAGCAACCCUCUUUUGUUGUUGUUCAGUCAACACAACUCCCUCUGCUGGGGCGUCAAUUCCUGAUUCCACAAGAUUCCAAUACUCCUUUGACCUGAGAAAAUUUUCCAUCAGCAUGCUCCAAUGGUCGUAGUGACCAUCAAAUCGUGGAAUCGCUGGUUGAAUAAAACUCUCAGUGGCUUUCUCUGUUGCCAUUGUUUCUUGCUGCUGCAAGACACAAUCUUUCACCUUUUUUUCAAGUUUGUUCAGGCCCAGAAGAGCUCUGAUACCAGAUGUUGAGAAACUGAAAUUAACUUAAACGUAAAAGGAUUCUUUGAGUAAACAUAUUUCACAGCAUAAGAAUACUGCAGUUUUCCUCUCUUAUAUACAUCUGAAAAACAAAGCUUACAAAAUAACAAUCUCCACAAUAACCACUAACACACAAGUGCAGAUUUUGUGGAGUUCAACUACCUUAAGCAACGGAAGCAAAUUUGAACGUGGUGAACAGACUAAACCACAACUUCUACAUUCUAGGACUUCAGCUUGACUUGGUCUCUACAUGGCCAUGUCAGCAUUAUUUAAUUAAAAAACUAAUUAAACUUAACUAAAUAACUUUUAACAAGUUAAUCAAAUAAAAUAAAAAUAAAACAACAAUUAGAAGGGUUGCAAUUAGAUAGGCUUGCUAGGCUCCAAGAGGUGCAAGACUGUCUUUUGAUUAAAGUUCAAGCUCCCAAGUCCAAAUUUGGGGCACCAACUAGCCUAUCUCAUUGCAGGCGCUUAACACUUGAAGGGACUGGCGCAAUGAUUUACUAGUAAAAUUUGUAAUAGCUUAAGACUUCGCUAGUAUCAUUUAGUAGUUACAAAUCACUUUACUUCGCCAGUAGUGAGUCCCAAUAUCGGCUGAAUUGCUCUUUCGCCAGUAUUAGUCUGUCGGUAUAAGCUAAAAUUGUAGUAGUGUAAGCUAAUUCUUGAUUUACUGUAAUUAUUCCCUUAUCGGUUAAAACUUCAAAUCAUCAAAGAAAAUCAAAGCACUCUCUAAGAAUUUCACCCUUUAAGAGUGCAUUGAGGCAAACCUAAAAAAAUUCUUCUUCAUCAUCAUCUUGUCACGCUUCCUGAAUCCACCAUAGGAGAUUUUAGUUUGGCCCUCUGGAUGUCCUCUUUUAGGUCUUUACGCACCGCUUCUUGGGGCUUAUCACUUGAGCUCCCAAAGAUCACUCUCUUAGCUUCAGCAAAACUUCCGUCGUGAUCUCGUUUGCGUUUCCCUAGGAUCUCCAAGGCCUCCAGCUGUUUUUGCAUCUCUUUAGAAUAAGAAGUUACCAUCUUUGAUAACUUUUCAUUUUCUGCCUGCAAUAUUUGAAGCUAGCGUUGAUUCUCCUCUGCUGUUUUUUCCUCUUUUUUUUUUUUUCAAUCUUUUGAUCUCACGCCGAUAUUCAUCAACCAAAUUCUGCUCUGCCACAACUAAGCUCUCAGUACUUGCACCUCAUAAGAUUUUGCAAUGAGGCGAUGCCCCACACUUGUGAUAGUUGUCGCAUUUUGCAAGCACAGUGCCACAACAUUGCUCACUAACCGGUUGUCAUCCCCCGUUCCUAGUAUGCAUACAUCCCUGGGAGUCACCAAACUCUUCGCAACUCCAAUGGCAACCUCGUUGUCAAGGAGUAACGAGUCGCUUUUUGUCACUGGUCCUCGUGAAGAAGCAAAGUAGGGUAUCCAGACUGGUGCAACUCCUUGCCCCUAUGUCUGUGUUGGCGGAGCUAGGUUAAGAUCCAAAGAAGAUGAGAAGGGAUACGACAUUUUCUUUCUGCUUUCUUUUUCUUUCAUUUUCUCUCUUUUCUCUUUCUUCUUUCCUUUCUCUUUUCUUUCUUUCUUUUCUCUCUUCUGCGUGGUUGUAAUUCUUCUUUUUCCUUUGUUUCCUUUAAUAGAUGAACCCUAGCACCAUUGCACCGUCUAAUUUUUCCGCAUUCCUUGAGCUCCACAGCCUUCUCGCUUUCCACCGUCUACAACUUUGUCGCGACUUGUGCAACGUCGUCCCUACUAUCCAUGGCACCCAUAAUUCCGCUUGUAGAUUUGUCGUACCUCUGCGCGUCGACACAUGUCUCCUCUCUCUAGGGGUGGGCAUUGGAUUUGUGGUUCAAAUUGAUUUAGGGUUGAUUAAAAUAAAAUGGCAGCCCUAGAAACAGUGACCAGGUAUCUAUCCCAUAUGACAUAAAACAUUUAAAAACAUCCAUGGGACUAUAUUUAAAAAAUCAACUUGAUAAUGUUUAGUUGGAUUGUAUAAUGUGUUUUGUUUUGUUUUGUUGGAUUAUAAAAUGUUUAAGUUUCUGUUUUUUUGUUUAUUUAUAAAAUCAUCCAUGGGACUUCAUUUUCGGUUCAAGGUUCCAUUUUUUUAAGAAACCAGUCCAAAUCGGACCAUGCCCACCCCUACCUCUCUGUCUCUUUUUUUGCUUUGUUUUCCUUCUCUCUCUCUCUCUCUCUCUCUCUCUCUCUCUCUCUCUCUCUCUCUCUCUCUCUUCCUUAUAUAUUCUCUCCUCUCUCUGUUUUUUUAUUUAAAUUUUUUCAAUUGUGAGUUUUGUAACAUGCAUGUUAUUUUAUUUAUGAACCCAUUACACGACUCCAAACUCACACAAAAAAAGACGACCCGAACCCAAGAAGACAUGUUUAUUAAAUGGGUUAGAUUCGGGUUGAGCAUUCUUGACACGUUUGUUAAUUGGAUUGGGUUAAAUAAAUCAAUGACAGCAUAAAAUGAACACAGGGUUUGUGAAAAAUGUGAUAUUUUCAAUGACUAUAUUAAUAAAUCUUUAUUUUUUGAGUAGUUAGAUUUUUGCACAAAGCUUACCUUCCUCAACUGAUAGCUGCAUUGAUCUUUUGUCUAGCUCAACGGCGUGUCUGCUAAGCUCAGAUGGUGAUAAUUGACGAAGCGCUGGCAACAUGAUGAACGAAGAGCAUUUUCAGUGCUGGCAAAACUAAAGGCAGAAAAAUUGUAUGAAAUUUUUUAAAUUGAAAGAGCAGUGCCAUAAUAAAAUGACCUACUCUGGAUCUAUUCUCUCUGAUCAGAAUCAUCAAAUUGCUUCAAGAGGUUCUUGAAAUGUAGAAACCCUUCUGUCCUUUGCUCAUCAUGGUUCUUCUCAGAACCAACCAAGUGAGGAACCAGAGAUUCAGGAGUGAAUCUAAGUUGCCUGGAAUGAGCAGCUGGCAAUCCAUUGGAACAGGUGGUUUACCAGGUGAAAAAUCUACCGGAGAAGCCAAGGGCAUUGGUGCGAACGCAGAUGUCUCAUGUUCCUGCUUCUUGGUUCUGUCUCUAGGUAGGUCUUGCUGCUUUUGCAAACAAUAUCGUUUGAAAUUGAGAGAGUAAGUAUUUUGUUCUCACACCUUUAACUCUUCGCUUGCCUAAUGCUGAAUCUAACUUCCUCGCACUACCACCAUGCAUGAGCUGAUCACUUGCACUGCUGAUGCUCGUGAAUUGGUGACAAGGGGAGCUCCGUGGCAACUCAGGGUUGAGUAUCUUAGUUCCCAAAACCUUAAUGGGAUGCGCGACUGGUCGUCCUAGAAAAACAUACUUGUUAGGGUUAGAGGUCCAUCGGAGUAGUCAUUAGCUGCUAAUCAACCCGAGAGAGAGAGAGAGAGAGAGAGAGAGAGAGAGAGAGAGAGAGAGAGAGAGAGAGAGAGAGCAAAGAAGAAAUGUGGGGCGUGUUUUUUUUUUCCUAAUCUUAUAAUUAAGCGUGUGUUUUCUAAAUCGGGGCAUGUGAGUUGUAUUAGUCGGGUAAUGAGAGUAUUAAAAACUUUCGUUUAAUAUAAUUCAGUAAUUAAGUAAUACAAGUUGACAUCAAACAAAUGACAUUGACUAUUUACUCAUAUCCAUAGUCUAAUACCAUGUACCAAACAUACCUAUACGAGCUUUUGCCACAUGACUCAUCUAACAUGACAAUCCAAGUCCACAAACACAAGCAUACACACUAAGACAGGACACUCAUAUGCAUGUGAACUACAAGAACGACUGCAUAAUAUCUUGUAUAGAAACAAGACAAUACAACCGGCGCUUAUUACAUUGGAACUACAGUUCACAUUACAUACCAAAUUUAGUAUAACACAGAUAGGAAUUCAAACAUUUGACUUGGCAUAACCCUCAAAUGCUUGGCCUCACAUUGAGACGGGAUAAAAGCUUUUGACCCAGAGACUUAUCUGCCUGCAUUGCCAAUACAAGCACAUAACAUCAGAACAACAUGGCUUAUUCUAAAACUAACCCUUCAUAUUCCAGUAUCACAUCAUCACGUUGCUUAACGGUACAAAUUCACAAAUGCAAUAAUUUAUAAAUAGACUCACCUGAGACCAGUAUGAGAUCCAAAUGCUGCGAAUCUCAUGGGUGACACGAGGGUCUGAUAGGGCAUCCACCCAUCGGCGGAUGAAUCGCUCUUGCCUGCAUGAAGAUGCAAGAUUAAGAACAAUGUUUAAAUACAAUUAUUUUCAUACAGAGACAUCACAGGGUUGCCAGGUACCUGUCUGGCGCCCAAGAUCUGUAUCUCUCUCCAGGUUGCUUAAAGUUGUUCUCCUUCUCAAUGACGCACUGAAUAACCAAAACAAAGUUCCCAUAUGAAUUAUUAUGUGCAGAAAACAAGGAAAAUCCAGAAAUGCAAUCGGUGCAUAUGUAUACACACACACACCUACACUAGUGUAUGUGCCCAGGUGACAGAAAAAGGGACACAGCUGGAAGAAAAGAUGAUGUACAGACGAGACGGGGAAACUAAGGUAUAUUAUUUAAAGCAAUAUUCCUCAAUUGAUAGAAACUGACCUUCUCACGCUUUCCAGAAAGGAUAUUAGAAGGAAUGGGGUAGCGCUCAGCAUGACGAACAGGAUCAUGCCUUGAAGGGAAGUAAUUAACCUGAAAAUAACAGUAUAGCAACUCAUCAGAGAAAACUCAAAUGAAUAAACAUGCAUACAAUUGGAGUUGUCCUCCCAGAAUAUUGAGCAAUCGAAGUAUACAAGGGCCAAAGCGAUUCCAUAUGAGACAUAACAAUUGAGUAAAAUAAUAAUACCUCCUCAUCCCUGUGCAUGAAAUUCAUGAAUCCCUCAUGAUGAUUGUUAUGAUGAGGACACUUGGGAGCAUUCACUGGGAGCUGCAGAUAGUUCGGGCCAAGACGGUGCCUCUGAGUAUCAGAAUAUGCGAAGAUUCGAGUUUGGAGCAUCUUAUCAUCUGAAUAGUAGAUACCAGGGACAACAUGGGCAGGGUUAAACGCAAGUUGUUCAUUCUCUGCAAAGAAGUUAUCGAUGUUUUUAUUCAGAACCAAACGGCCAACUGGCUGCAGGGGAAGGAUAUCUUCAGGCCAGGUCUUAGUUAAGUCAAGAGGGUCAAAGUCAAAUCUGUCCUCGUGAUCAGGAUCCAUUGUCUGAAUAUAAAGUUUCCACUCAGGGUAGUUGCCAGCUGCAAUGGAAUCAUAGAGGUCCUUGGUAGCAUGGCUGUGAUUAGCUCCUCCAACCUUAAUAGCUUCAUCCUCCAACAAACACUUGACUCCACAAGUAGGUUUCCAAUGAAAUUUCACAUAGUGUACUUUCCCUGCCUUACUGAUGAGGGUAUAGGCGUGAACACUAGAGCCUUCCAUGUGCCUGUAAUCUUGUGGAACUCCCAGAUCAUCAUAAAAGAAGGCGAACGUGUGCAGGCUUUCUGGAAGGUGGGAGAAGAAGUCAAGGAUCCUCCAA